rnacentral:lncRNA from 1 species
CAGUAAGAUGUGUUUGGUUCAAGUAUAAAAUGAUGGGAUUGGACAAUUUUAAGAUUAAAUAAUCCUAAUGCAAUGUUUGGUACCAAAAAUAAUUGUGGGAUAAAAAUAGUGGACCCCACCAUUUAAUCCAACACAAUGUCAAAAUUUUAUCACAAAGGGGGGUGUGGGAUAAGCUAAAACUUAAACGUAGGAUAACAAAAAAAAAGCCCAAAAUUUUAUACAACACAGUGAUUUUUUUUUUUUUUUGAGUAUGUCAUCAUCCAAUGAUAGUAUAUAUGCCAGAACACUCUUUUGACGUUAAUGAUAUGUAAUAUUUUCAUAUAUACAGCUAGUGACAUUGUUAUGUAAUUUCUUUUUCAUUUAUAGAUUUAUAUUAUUAUUAUAUUUGUUGAUGAUAUUCUUGUUAUGUUUAUAAUUAUAUUAUUUAGUAAUUUAUAAGUUUAAAAACUAUAACAUGUUAAAUAUAAGAAAAACUUUAAGCGAAGAUUUUGUAUUUUUUAACAAAUUUACCAAUAAUUUUUUAUUUAAGUUAGAUUAUAUUCCAUGUCAUUUUAAAAUAAAUCUAAGAUAAUUUUGAUAAAUUAAUAAAUAAGACAUAUUAUUAGUUACUAACCAAUUUCAUGGCAUACCAAACAUGAGAUAUGAUUAUUUACAGUCUAAUCCAACAUUGCACCAAACGUAAUAGAGUAUUAUAUAUAAUCCAAUGUUAUCAAAUCCAAUCAUAUCUUAUCCAAUCCGAUCCGAUCCAGUCUAAUCCAAUUUGACAUACCAAACAAGCCCUAAUUAUGUUAAAAACUACAUCAUUACCAAACUGACCCUUAAUACAAUCUCAUACAUACAUACAUAUAUAUAUAUAUAUUAAAAAUUAAAAAUUAUCUUUAUUUAGUUAGGAAAUAAAACCAUUAUAUUUAAAUAGAUUAAUAUUAUUACUAAUUAUAUUCAGAUAACAAAAUUAAUAAAAUAAAAAUAUUUGUUUGAUUUAUCAAUUAUUAUACACACAUAUUUAUAAAUGCAUGCGUAAAUAAAAUUUUAUAGAUUUAGGCCAAGGCGGAUGUACGGUACAGCAGUAUCUUUAUUUAGUUAGGAAAUAAAACCAUUAUAUUUAAAUAGAUUAAUAUUAUUACUAAUUAUAUUCAGAUAACAAAAUUAAUAAAAUAAAAAUAUUUGUUUGAUUUAUCAAUUAUUAUACACACAUAUUUAUAAAUGCAUGCGUAAAUAAAAUUUUAUAGAUUUAUGUCUAUUUAAAUCAUUUGCAUUCUUAUAACAUUUUAAAAAAAGAAAAGAAAAGUGAUUUACCAAAUACAUGUAAUUGUUCUUCAAACUUACAACACUUUUAAAAUAGAAUUUAAUAAAUGUUUAAUUAAUUUUUUCACAGCUGAUUAUUUUUAUGGUAUAACUAACAAUAAUCUAUAAACUUAUGGUAAAUAUUUGUGUGAAUGUUGGUCCAUGUAAAGAAGUAAAAACAACGCAUAUAUCAAGCAAUAAGAUAUCAAAACUCUUAGUAAAAUACAUAUACUAAUGAAAGAAUGACAGCAAUGCAAUAAAUAAGAUUAUAAUAUAAAUUAUUAAAAUUGUAUAUUAAAAAUUGAUGUAUGAAAUUCUUUUUAUUUUAGUGAUAGAUAAUGUGAUAUAUUUGAAUAAUUUGAUUAAAUGAAAAGAAAAAUAACAAGUAUGGUUGUGGAGGAAAUAAACCAUUGAACUGUGGAAUGUUAUUAAUUAUUGCUAUUUCAUUAUGUAACGUCCUGAUAAUAAGUACAGUGUUAUAGUAUAUUGAUGGGUGGUGAUAUUGUCACCCCUUAAAUUGUGUAAAGUCAACCUCAUUUACAAAUUUUUUGAUAUAAAUUAAAAAGUACAUUAGUUUUAAUAAAUUAUAUAUUUAUUGAAUAAACUAGAACCGUUAGGGAGCUGUAAUGUUAGCACUGUUUUAACUUAUUAUAAAAAAAAAAGUUAUGAUUUGAUCAUAACUCUAAUUUAGAAAAGAAAAAAGAGUUGAAUUGCUAACAUACUUAAAAAUAAAAUAAAAACAUUAUUAUUAGAUGAAAAAUUGUAAAACUUAAGGGGGCAUUUGCAAGUCCGCCACUACUCAAUAGAGCAUUAUUCAGUACUCGUUAAUAUAUCUCGAACUUUUAGGUUUUUUUAAUAUAUUUUUAAUACAUUUUCUAGAACAUUUAGAUAAAAAGAGUCAGUACUCCAAUUGAGUUGUGAAUAAACAUUUAGAUAAAAAGAGUCAAUACUCCAAUUGAGUUGUGAAUAAACUCAUGUUAAAAAAAAAAAAACUCAUUUUCACACUUGAAACGAUUAGUAAAUGGGUGAUACGAAUUUAACUUGGUCAAUAAUAUAUACCAUCUUAAGUUAACUUCAACUCAUUGAUCUUCUAUAGGGUUGAUCAGCCUGCCACAAGGCCCACAAAUUAUCACCUCUAAUGCUUUUGCAACAGUCGUUAUAAAUGCUGACAAAAUGAAACUUCUAUAUAUUUUGGUUUUUUUUUAUUUCUAUGAAAUAUAAGGCCCUUAUGGCAAAUUUCCAUCCAGCGUGAAAUUUGCUAGUUUGGCCUUGGUACUGUGGCACAUGCGUCAUGCAUGCGUGGCUGAGAUGCUUCUAAAACUAAUAAAUUAUGAAGAAUUCCAAAUUCGUACCAAAAAUAAGAGAAUAGGAGCUUGUCAUAGGUGUCCGCGGAUCGGAUUUUAUGGGUUAAACAUUAAUUCAUAUUUGAUUCGUGAUUUUGUAGAUUAUAAAUUUUUAAUUUAAUUCAAUUUAUGGAUUAGUGAAACUCAAUACAAAUUCAAUCCAUAUAUAUGCAAAUUAGAUGCGGAUUUAACCCAAUGCAUAUUCAAUCCAUCAUUUGGCGGAUUGAUUUGCAAAUUAAAAGUUUUUAAUUUUGUCCAAUCUAAAAAGUAAUUAAAUUAAAAAAAUCUAAUAUAUAAAUAAUUGAUUAAAUAAAAAAAUCUAAUGUAAAAAUAAUUUUACUACCAAUUAAAUUCAAAAUUGAACAAGAUUUAAAUAAAUUUAGAAUAAUACAUUCAAAAUUUUAAAAUAUAACACACCGAAAAAAAAAUUCAUUUAUUUAGAUCAAUACAUGAAAAUUAACUAAAAUUAUGAAUUUAAAUGUUGAAACUUGAAAGCUUGGAUGUAACAGGAAGAAUUUAAGAAACUUGAAGAGCUUGAAAAGAAAGUAAGAAAUUAAGUUUAAUUACCUCAAGUGGUGAAGUGAAACAGUGAUUGGCUUGUGCGUGCGGUGGGAUAGAGAUUUGGUGUUAUAUGUCAAAAUAUUUUGUUUGGCUUGGGGUUUUUGUUUUGCUUUAGAAAUUUUAAUGUUUAGGAAACUAUAUUUGCUUAUUUAAUUAUUUCUUAUUUUAUAUUGUUAUCGAAUAAAAUAUAAUAUUUUGUUAAUUUAGCUAUAAUUUUAUGCUGAAUAUAUUUAUUUAAAACGAUUUUAUUAAAUAAAUGUGCAUAUUUAACGAAGGUCUCUGAAAUUUCAACCUGCCUGCUAAUGAUAGCCAAUACGGCACGACCCACCAAAUGUCGGCCCACGCGGGCUUGUGGGCCAUGACGACUUUUUUUGUAAGGGCCCGGCACGGCCCACGGCACGAGUCCGUGCCCAAAAAAAGCCCACCUACCUUUUUUUUUUUUGUCCACAUGUUCAGCGUGCCUAAAAAAACCCACGUGCCUGACGUGCUUUUUUAAGCCCACCAGCCUAAUAGUAACAACAACAACAACAAUAAUAAUAAUUUCAUAGAAAUAAUUAAUGAAAAAUAAAAUAACAAUUCUAGAAUAACAAUUACAUCUAAUUUUAUUUGAACAACUAAUAUUAUAAUUGCACAUAAACUCUAUUGAAUGAAAAUGUAAUUUUUAAUUUAUUAUAAAAAUAUUUUGUUCAUAAUUUUAUUUUUUUGUGCGUAAAUAUGAAAAAUAUUUCAUUCACAAAUGAAACAUAUCUCCAUUAACUAUUAACUAAGUUAUGAUUUCAUAAAUGAAAUAUUAAUGUCGUAAAAUUUUUUAUUUAUCAUUUAUAAAAUCAUGAUAUUUAUUUAUCCAUUUAAUAAAUUAUAAACAUAAAAAAAUUAGAAUACUUAUUUAAACUAGGACUUAAAUUAAUUUUAAAAAGCCUAUACUAAAAAAAUAUAUUAAAAUUUUUAAUUUCAAGGUAUUUAUAAAAUCAUGAUAUUUUAUAUUUAUUUUUCAUUAAAAAAUUUUAUUUUGAUAUACUUUGGCCCACGUGCUAUUGGUGGCCCACGGGCCGCGUGCUUAGCCCACCAAUAAAGUGUGCUUAUUACAUGCCUUUUCGCGUGCCGUGUUUUGCCCCAUCUCUAAUCAUACCGUGCUUUUAAGGCCUGCGUGCCUAAAAUUCUAGGCCCGCCAGCCGUGCCGUGCCGUGCCGUGCCUCGUGCCGCCUGGCCCAUUGGCCAUCCCUACUGCCCGCCAACCACAUUUGUCCAAGAUCAAUUUGUAGGAAAAAAAUUUGAAAAUCAAUAAUUUAUUUAAUUAAUUGUUAAUGUAGGCAUUUGAAUCCCCACAAAAUCUGGGUGUCAGUUCUAGACUUCUGGUGAUAUAUUUUUCUAAUUAAGGAAUAAAAUAUUUUUGUCAUUUUUUUAAUAUUUUAAUUUACCAGGCAUAUCAACUAAUUAAUUUUUCUACUUAGACUAUUAAUUCAUUACGUGCGCAAUCUGUAGCCCGGCGCUCCAAUCCCAUGCAUGUUACACACAACUCAAUCAUUAUUUAUUUAUUUAUUUAUUUUGACCAACAACUCAAUGUUUUUUAUAGAGCUGUCAAAAUUUGACACGACCCGAUUACCCGACACGAACACGACAUAAAUAAAUGGGUAUGGGUCGUCAAAUUUAACACGAUUAUUAAAUGGGUCGGGUCCGGGUCAACACGAUUUUUUUCCGUGUCGGGUUUUGGGUUAAAAUUCUUGACCCAUUUACCCGAUCAAUGACCCGAUUAUAUUUUCUAUUUUAAAAUAAUUUACAUAUUCUUAUAAUUAAAACUCAAAUAUUAGAGAUGAUUUUCUUUUUUUUUAUUCUUUAAAAGGGUGAUAUAUUUUAUAAUAUCGAUAAAUUAUGUAUGUAUGUAUUUAUGUACAUACGUAUGUAUGAUAGUGUGGAAAUAUUUUAUGUAACUUUUGUUCAAUAUAUAGAUAUUAAACGGGUUAUUGGGUAACCCGAUUAUUUUUCCGUGUCGGGUUUGGGUCUCAAUAUUUUGACACGAUUAUUAAAUGGGUCGGGUUUGGGUCGACCUAAAUUUGACACGACACGAAACUGACACGACAUGAACACGACCCGAUGACCCGUUUUGCCAGCUCUAGUUUUUUAAUAUGAAAAGGUAUUGGUUAGCUUUGUCUUUAGUUUUUUCAACUUAUAAUAAGUUUGUAUUAAGGCUCCCUUUGGUACAGAUUUUCAAGUAAAACUUAUUUAGGGUUAUUUUUAGGGACCUCCCCUGAGGUUUGGUGUAUUAACAAUCUGAUAGAAAGUAUUCACGUAAUUACAAAGACCUCCCCUGACAUUUGUAUUAUGUUAAGUGGACUGUUAUUGACUAUUGAAAAUCCAAAAAUACCCUUCCUGCCAAAAUAUUUCUUUAUUCACUGAUGAACUGAUGGGUAAUUCGUGCCAAAAUCACAAAUUACUUAAGAAGAUGAAAAUAUCCAUUGGAUAAAAAAAAUGAAAUUGCUUAAUAAAAAAAUUGACAUUGCAUAAUAAUAAAAAAAAUUGAAAUAAUGUGCGGCGGCAUAGCUGCAUCUUGCAUGCAUAUUAUUAUUGUGAUUUUUUUAUUACAAACUCCAUCCUGCAUGCUUAUUAUUAUUGUGAUUUUUUUUAUUACAAACUACUUCAUAACUAAUACAUGCCACAAGAGCAGAGCUAUUAAAAGAAAUGAUUUUCAUAUUGUAAACUUGAUAGUACAGGUGUUGGCACCGACCAUAAAACCCUUAUGAUACCAAUCUUUGCUCCAUCCAUAUUUAAAUCCAGAUCAAGUAAAUAUUAAAUUGGAUUUCAGGUCCUGAAAAUCCCACUCUAUAAUUGAUAUCUUCGAGUUUUGUUGGUGCCUCAAACCUGGAUCUAGAGCAUCAUCUCUGUCAUACUCGGAACACCUAAACUAAUGGACUUGCUGCAGCUGCUUAUUCUUCUUCUGAAAUGAUGCACGCAGAUAGAUUACAGACUUUGAAAUAAGAAAUACAAUAAACAACAUGUAAUCGAACUUAAGAUUUCGGCAAACUUGUUUGAAAAUUAGAAUCAAACAAGGAAAAUGGCAAGUCAAUAUUUUUUAAUCUAGAAAAAGGGCAAUUUCAAAGUUUAUCACAUGCCAAAUUCAUAGUCUUGCAUCCACUAUUUUCUAGUUUGAAUAACAAACAAAAGCCUUAGACAAAAACACAGAGAACAUCUCACAUGGGAGCAAAAAUUGUGUGUAGAACAAUAUACUUAAGUUACAUGUGAUUACAAUCACAUUAUUUAGCAAAUACAAAAUUACCUUCUCAAAAAAAAAAAAAAAAAAAAAAACACCACCAAAUUAUUGAAGGUAUUACAACAAUAAGGCAAAAGAACACCAAAGGCAUGCACAAACCGAAACUAACACACAACUCAAUUAGUGUCAUGACCCCAAACUGAACAAUCAUAUAAACCAUUGUGGGCUCUCUAAAAGAUUAUCACAUUAUAAGCAAACAGAAACCUAUAUUUGAUGAACUACAUCUAGUACUUACACAACUCUUAAAUCAUUAGGAAAUUGCUCUUAUCAGUCAUUACCCAAUAGUUUUUUUCAACUCAACACUAACAACCCCAAAGAGAAACAACAUCCAGCACCAUUUUCAUUAAUUAAAACAGACCCAUUGUUAUUUUUAAUCAAUAAAAUAACAACAAUAUCGUGUAAGCCACUGAUUCAAGCAUUCAAGCUGUGUUUUCGAAGACUGACCUCUUCUUGCUAUCUAAUUCCAGUCACGAUAGACGCUAGAUGCCGGCAAUACUCGCUUCUUGGAAGCUCUGGACCACCGCACGACGUCAUCUUGUGCAGUAGAUGAAAAUAAAUCAAUGAUUUCAGAAAUUAUUUGUGAGUUGCAGACGCUUCUUCUCCAUGGAUGAAAAUGAUGGUGGGUUUUGUUCAAGUGUAAGCUGUGUUUACGAGGAGAAGUACACUUUGUGAAAAAAUCAUUUUCUUUCAUCUACUGGAUAAUGACUUUGGACUGGGUAAUGGUGUGUUUAAGUCUCUAUUUCACGGACAUUGAAGCAUAUUUUGCUUGAAUUUUGAUUUUGUUUAAAUUUCAAGUUUACUUUUACUUGUUUACCCUUUUAUACUGACGCUUAUGUAUUUUUAUACUAACGUUAAGGGAGGUCUUUGUAAUUAUAUGAAUACUUUCUAUCAGACUGUUAAUACAACAAACCUCAGGGGAGGUCCCUAAAAAUAACCCAACUUAUUUAAAUAGAACUUUUACAAAAAAAAAUUUAGUUAUUUGGUUGUCAAUAAACUUUUCAAGUAUACUUUGUUUGGUACAGCUUUUCAAGUAAAACUUAUUUAAGUAGAGCUUUUACAAAAAAAAAAAAAUUAGUUGUUUGGUUGUCAAUAAAAAUUUUUAUUAAAAAAAAUAUGAAAUUACUUUAUUAGUCAAGUUUUUUUAAAGUUAUGCUAUGAAAAGAAUAAAAUAAGAUUGUCAAAUAAAUAGAAAAUAUUUUAAAUAUUUUAACAUUUAAAAAAACUUUUUAACCUUUAUUUUCAAAAAUCUAAAAUUUAAACUUUUACUAGUAAAGGCAAAAUAAUUUAUUUAAACUUCAAAAGCUUUAUUAGAAAAAUAAUCAAACAAUAACAAAAAUUAUUAUAAAAGCUUAUCGAAUUAAAUAAGUACUUAUAGUUAUUAAAGAAGUUAUAUCUAACAGACACUAAUGCCGAAAGCCCCUUCUAAUUGUGGGUGUAAAAGUUUGAAUUAUGCAUACGGUUAAGGAGUUAAGGUGUGUUUGGCAACUGCAUUAAGUGGAAAUUUUUAUUUUGUUUCGAAUAAAAAUACAGCAAGCUCGUGUUCGGCUCAAAAUAAUGGAACGUUUAAUUUGCAACCGUCGGCGGACGAAGCACACCGUUCACGGCCCUUCGUAUAAAAUUGCAUAUGUAAACGUAAAUAGGUCCGGAUUCAGAUUCGUUGCUGUAGAGAGUGGCACGCACGAUCGGGCUGCUGUCGGUGGUAGGUUGGCAUUGGAAUUCUCAUCACGCGCUUCCCCAGGCGCCUACUUAUGGCAAAUUGACACGUGACGCGUGUGGAUUGAAUGGACAGAGUCCCGGGCAGUGUGUCCAAAGCUGCCAACCGUGCUCUGAUUUUUGUCAUCCAUAAUGGCUAACGACUAACGAGGGAGAUUUCCGGGCAGAAAGAAAUUGUUGUCGUUUCUGAAGGGGAAAAAAAAGUUAUUUAAUUUGUUGUUGAAGACAAAAUGAAGAUCUAAAUAAAUAAUGGCUAAUUUUGAGUGUAAAGCAACGGUAAAUGCAUUAUUAAAUUAGAUUUAGGGUCUGAUUGAGAUUAUUUUUAGAUUUAAAAUUAAUUUUGAAAAGUUAAAAUUAAUUUUGAUGUUUAUUAAUUUUUAUUAAAAAUUAUUUUUGUCAAAAUCUCUCAUCCUCCAGCAUAUUAUAAAAAAUAAGGAAGAAAUAAUUUUUUAAAAUUUAAUUUUAAGAAUCAGUUUUAUACUUAAUAUAAUCCACAUAUAUCCUCGUAAAUAUUAUAAAAAUUUAAAAUUAUUCUUAUUUAUUUAGGAUAUAAAAUUAUUAAAUUCAAACAUAUUAUUAUUAUUAUUAUUAUUGUUAUUAUUAUUAUUAUUAUUAUAAAUUCACACACGCACACACAUACUUAUAAAUUUAUAAAUAAACUUUAUUUAACAUUUUGUUCACUUAAAUCAUUUAUAUUCUUAUAGCAGUUUAACAUUAUGAUUUACCAAACACAGAUAAUUAUUUUUAAAAUCCAUAAUAUUUUUUAAAAUAAAUUUUAAUAAAUGUUUAACUUAUUAUUCUGACAACUGAUUUUUUUUGUAAGGUAUAACCAUUAAUAAUAAAUAUUUUAAAAGUUACAGUAUCCCCAAAUUGGCCCUUACUAAUACUCUGCGUUGCCAACUAAAUACUAAUUGUAACAUUAAACAUCUGGAAUAUUUUUCUCUAACGAAACAACACAAUUAAUUUCCCUCUAAAAAAGAAAAAGAAAAAGAAAAAAUAAACUACCAACCCCACCCCUUUAGACAGCAGAGUUUUAGCUGAGGCGGCUUGCUUGCAUAAGCAUUAAGGCUGCUCUUCACCAACCAUUGAACAUUCUUUCCAUUUGAUUGUUACACUUUACUUCGCCAUCUCAUGUCCAUGUACAUUGUUUUGAAAUGAAGACUUUGCGUACAACUAAUCUUUUUCAAUUCAUAAUAAAAACUCUUUUAAUUAGUUAAUAGCUAUAGCUUCCAAUUGAGACUAUAUAUAAAAAUCCAUAUUGACUGACCAAACCAAUAAUUUUUAAUUGGCUUGAGCAUUGUCUUACUUACUUCAAAAUCGUCACUCUCUUUGAAAAGAACAUGAGAGAGUUCACCUCCAUCUCAACCCUUAACCCUAUAUCUCAGUCAAGAGAUUAUUCAUGGAAAAUUCAGAAAAAAGAAAUGUUGCAAUAUUUACGAAACUCACGUCACGUGAGGUAAGAUAAAUUAUUCCUUUCUGCUUUAAUUCAUGUACAUAAUCAUGAGAAUAACUUUAAUUAUAGUUUAUUUCUCCGUUUUAAGAUUUUUCCUUUUUUUUUUUUAAUUAAUUAAUUAUAGUUCAUUCAUUAAUCCCAUAAGAAAUUAACACCUUUGCCGGUAAAGUCACACAUACAACAAUAUUUUAGAACAAAAGGGAAGAUCAUGCACGAUCAUGAUGUUUUAUUAUAUCUCUAGCAAUAUAAUUAUCUUAUAAUUAAUUAAAAACAAAACAGGUAAUUAAGCCAAAGUGGAUGGCAUGCAUCAAUCAUCAUGCAGAACACCUCCCCUUGUUUUAAAUAUAAAUAAAAGAAAUUUGUGCCCAGAAGACUUAAUUAAUACUUCUCGUUUCUGAAGUGCUCACAUGAUAUAUAGUCGGACGCAUUAUAUUUAAUUUCAUGAAUUAAUCGUACGGUUGUAUUUUGAGAGAGAGAGAGAGAGAGAGAGUGACUGAGUAAGAUAUGGCUUAAUUUAACCAAAUCUACGUAUAAAAUUUUAAAAUGAAUUUUUGAGUUUUAACUUAGGAAUUGUCUAUGAAUAAAAGUGUUAAUCAAAUAUUUCGUGUAAAAACAGUCAGCUGUAACAUUUUCGGUUGCUUUAACAAAACUGUAUAUUUCUGUAAUUUCCUAUAUGGGCCAAAAGGAACAUUUUUCUCAGAAAUUAAAAACUUAUGGUGAAAAAGAUAAGAAAACCAACAGGUUCAAAGGUGCGAGUAAACUGGGCUCUGGUGCGCCCAACUCCCUCUUUUGAUUUUGAGACUCUAUUGACCAUUGAGUUUGAGGCCCCAACGGCCCAGUUUAAAACUGUUAUGAAAAGAAAAAAAAUAUAACUAUAAAAUUAAAAUUAAUAAUGUUUGAUAAAUAUAAUUUUUAAAUAAUAAUUUGACAAAAAUAAUAUAGGGUCUUGUGUAUAUUUUUAUUUGGCAUUUCAAUUAAUCUGCUUAUAUAUAUAUAUAUAUAAGUUAAUCUAUAUUUCUUGCAAGAAGAUAGUAUUUCUUUAAUUAAAGUCAUAACUAAUAUAUAAAUUAUCAACUAACCAUCAAACAUUUAUCUCAUUUUAUCUCCACCACGAUCAUCACCAUUCAUCCUGUCACGAUCUUUAUGUAACUACAAUUAUUUUUUCUUUAAUAAUGUCAACCCACCAACCCCAUAACAAUAUCUCCAAACAUCUCAUCUCAAAAUUCCUAAUAACAUAAGUGUUUAUGUAUGAAAGAAAAUGUGAAAUAUAUAAUCAAAAAGUAGUUUAAUAAUAUAAUGUUUAAAAAUUAUGGUAAAAAUAAGUGAGAGUUUGGCAUGGCAAGUUAAUAAAAAGAUAAAAGCUCGGACACUUGAUGCAUCAAAGUAGCAAUGUCUGUCCAUCAUUAUCAUCAUGCGGGUUUAGGUGCUUCUCAUGAUAGCAUUAGCUGGUAAGACCAUCAUGCAUCGUACUUUCAUUGUUAUACAUUUUGAAGGUAAGAAUGGUUAUGUUACGUCCCUCCGAUUAGGUGUAUUUUUCUUCUUCUUCUUCUUCUUUUUCUUCUUCUUGUACGUAAUAAUUUCUCUUUCUUCCAUGAAGAUUUCUUUCUCUCUUUCUUUUUUUUUUUUUUAUUAUAAAUAAAAUGAUAAGAACUAAUUUCCUUACUAAUUGGUAGGGUCGUUUAAUGGUUCAGAUCCAUUAGAUUUUGUCAAAUUCAAGUCCAAUCCAUCAUAUAUUCCAUUUUAUAUUCCGGAUCCGAUCACUAAUAGAAAUCCAUUAUAAUUUAAAACAAUAAAACGUCGAAUCCAAUUUAAUUCGAUAUGAUCAAUCCAAUUAAAAUAAAAAUUUACAAAUAAAAAUCAUUAGUUGCUCUCUCCAGUUAUAAUUCUUAACAAUUAAAAAAAAUACAAAAUAUCAACUCCUUUAAUAUUUCAUGAUUCAUGUACUUUAUUAUCAUAUGGUUGGAAAAAAAAGUUGAAAUUUGAAUAUUAAAAGCAAAUGUUGGUUGCGACCUGCUGUUUGUAUUCUAUAUUGUUAUAGUAUAUUUAUAGUUAUUUUUUUAGCAAGUUAAAUAUAAAAGUGACAUAUAGUUUUUUUUUAUAAAAAAAAAUAAAUAAAGAAAAUAAAAAAUUAAUUGGUUGGAUUGGUUUAUAUUGGAUUUGAACAUAUAGAUCCAUAGACCAAUCUAAUAACAUUAUAUUUUUUAUUUUGCAAUCUUAUCCAAUCCAAUCAAAAUGUCAAUAUGACAAAAGUUGGAUUGGUUUUGAUCAGAUCGAUUGGUUUGAUUGGAUUGAAUUGAAUUAGAUCUUGAACAUCCUACCAAUUAGACUUUCCGUGAUUUUUUUUUUUCCAAAUUUAAUAAAGAGACUUCCCAUGAAUGUUAAAUGCAGUUUUAUUGAUGAAUUCUGCAAUUUUAAGAAAUGUUUGAUACACGAAUAAUGCAUCUCAUCAACCAAGUAACUGCGUCCCCUGCAGCAGCCGCGGCUUCAACUGGAAUACUGCAGCCACACCGGUCUUGAGACUCAACAUUCGGCCGAAACUCAAGCAAAAGUUGAACAAUAUCAGGCCUGCUUUGAGCUAUAGCAAUAUGAAGCAAUGUUUGUCCCUGCGCACCAGCAGAAUCAGCUGGGUGGGUUCCAAGCAGGGUCACUCUGUUCAAGAACCUCUCUUAUCUCAUCCAUUUCACCAUCCUUAACUAGCUGAACCACAACAUGGGACCCAACAAACAUGAUCUUGAUUCCUAUUGAUGAACGCUGGCUUCUUCCUUCUUGUGAACCAGUCACCAGGAACCGAAUCAAGCAUCAAUGUUGCAUCUUUAAUUGCAGCUGCAGGAACGACAACGCUAUGCAAGAGGAAGGAAUCAUCACAGUGAGGGAAAGUAUGAAGGAGAACUGAUCCUGGAGGAAGAUGAUACGCAAUCUCUAUGCUUACUGUUCCGAGUGGUUGCAUUGACCUGAAUAGUUCGAUCUAUUUCUCGUGUAUCUACUUGCGCUGCACUUUCACUCGAAGAACCUACAAAAUUAUUCAUAACCCGGCAUAAAAAAGACGUAAAGUUUUCAGCGCGAGCAUGGUAACUUCAAAACCCGUUUCAUACCUAUCAUAUUUCAUUCGUCCCGCACCCUCAUUUAAAAGACUAGAGCUUAUAAAAACUAGAAGUACCUUACCCAGAACAUAAAAGCAGACAAAACCCAGUCGAGUAUAAAUAUAACGUUGAAUAACACCUACCAUUUACCAUUUCAUUCAAGAACACCACACAAUUAACGAAACCAACAUCGGUAUGUUUUCAGCCGUUGUACUUUCAACUUAAUUUUGAAAGCGCGGCAGCUAAAGCCUAAACUGUUGUUUGAUAAAAGUCCACCCACUGACUGCUACCUGGCGGCUACCGAUUCCAUUCAAUAGCAGUCAUAAAAUAAAAAGUACAAAACAAACCUAUGUACAAAAAAGGCAAUGAAGCAGCCAUGGAUUCAGUUAUUUGCAUGUUUGGGAUUGUGGUUGAUUCCAAAUUGAGAAUAUACUGCGAAAUUAUGUUUGAUAAGCAUUUAUCUGAUGAUUGCUACUUUAUUGAGUGCCUGUUUGGUAUGGCUUAUUUAAAAGCCAUAAGUGCUUAUUUAAUCGUAUAAGCACUUUUUUAAAAUUUUUAUGGUGUUUGGUUAUUUUUUUAGUAGAGUUUUUUUAGCUUAAAUAAGCUAAUUUACCUCUACUAGCAAAAGCCCAAAAUUUGAGCUUUUGGGAGUAGAGGUUAAAGAGCUUAUCUAAAAAAUAUAUAAUAAAAAAAAUAUCAUACAGUUUAAUGAUUCAAAAGUGUUUUUUUUAUUGACAACCAAACACCCAAUGACUUUUUGUCCAAAAACUCUAUUGGUAUAAGCUCUACUGCUAUAAGCUCUAUUGUUAUAAGCUCUAUUUAAUAAGCUGUACCAAACGGAGCCUAAAGCAUUCAUUUUUUUUUUUCGCGUUUGGCCUCUUCACUUUUUAAAAAAUUUUAUGGUGUUUGGUUAUUUUUUUAGUAGAGUUUUUUUAGCUUAAAUAAGCUAAUUUACCUCUACUAGCAAAAGCCCAAAAUUUGAGCUUUUGGGAGUAGAGGUUAAAGAGCUUAUCUAAAAAAUAUAUAAUAAAAAAAAUAUCAUACAGUUUAAUGAUUCAAAAGUGUUUUUUUUAUUGACAACCAAACACCCAAUGACUUUUUGUCCAAAAACUCUAUUGGUAUAAGCUCUAUUGUUAUAAGCUCUAUUUAAUAAGCUGUACCAAACGGAGCCUGAGUCUUCAAAGAAAAACUCAAUCAACUAAUGCUCGAUUUUUUUUUUUAAAUGACAAAUCAAAAAGUAUUUUGGAGUAGAUUCUCAAAAGAGUGAUUAUUUGAUAAUCCACCAUAAUCCCACUUAGUUAUCAGAAAUAAAUUAAAAUCCGACGAAUGUUACUUAAGCCAAACAGCAUUAUUUUAUUUUGACCACAAGGACCACAACCCUCAAGCUGUCAAGCAACCGUUACCGUUAACGACCAAUCUUUCACCUCUCCGAAUCUUUGCAAGUCACUAUCAAGCAACCGUUACUAAUAUUUAAUCAAUUAUUAGGAUUAUUGGAUUUCUCAAAUACCUUAUGUACUUUGGUUCACUUUCUACUAAAAUAAAUAUUACAGGAGCUUUCAAAGUCUAGGCUAAGGUUGUUGUAAACAUAGAGAGAUUCAGAGAUAUAACAGCUUGUAAUUACAUACCACAAAGCAUAACUUUGUUCGAAUGAUAAUGAUCAUAAUCCAGAUUAUAGACGUAGAGAGAGGAGAAGUCGUACUUGAGGGGCAAAACGCGGCGUUUUGGCUCGUGGAUGAGGUGCUGCUCCUGAUCGUCGUAGAUUGAAGGGAGGAGAGGUCGGUCGAGGAAGUUUAGGAGACGGUGGAGGCUGAAUUGGUGAAUUUCGAUGAAGACUGACGAAUCCAAUGGGGCUUGAGGGUUUGAUUUGCAAAGAUGAAAGAUAAGAGCAUUGUUUUGGUUUCUGUGCAAAAAAAAAAAAAAAAAACAUGACAAGCGUUGUUUUGGUUUUGGUUCUAAAAAGAUGAAAAUUUGACUGCAAUGGAUCCAUACGCAGUCGGUGUCAAAUAAGAGGAGAAACAAAUAUGUUAAUCACUCGCUCAAUCACUCAUGCGAAGUGCCUUUUUUUUCGUUGCUUUGGCUUCUGAGAAAUAUAUGCAUCAGAUAUUACAACUCUCGAGGAUAAUGCAUUUUGUUCCGGUUUUGACUGAUAUUUAGUGGCAUUUGAUAAACUGAUACCUCAGAACCUGGUAGAGAGUUUAUUAAAUACAAAGAGAACAAAAAUAUAUGACUAUAUAAGCUUUUACACGGUUGAAGAUCCGGUCAAAUUGGCUUUAGUUAGCAAGAUCAUUUAAAACUUUCAAAAAACGAAUGGUAUCAAAAAGCUCUGAGAAAAAGCGGAAAAAAGGCACCACAAAGAUCUUGCAAUUAUUAUCACAGCUUGAUAAGACAUGGAAAUGUAUCUUACAAAUUGGCCUUCCAAGCAUCAAAGAAUUGGGUGGCGACAACUCCCAUUCCUAGCUGCUACCGUGGCCAGUCCCUUCUAACUAAAAUGGGACAGGACCAAAAGCAAGGUCUCUCCCACUCUCCUUAUGUAUAUAAAAUUCCCUACAUUCGAAUAAAACUACAGAAAAAGAUUUGCACAUCAUCUUCUUUCACCUUAUUUUGCAAUCUUCAAGAGUUUGGAAGAUUUCAAAGCACUUGUUAGAAUGUAGCACUCCAUUAAGCAUUCUCACCUUCCCCACACCCCAAUGGACCUCCUUAAUCCUAUCGGCAGACCUACAAAUUCUGCUGCAACUCCAAUCAAAUAAAGCAACACAAUUGUUGCCUGCCUAAGCCUUCCACUCACAGCCUGCAAUGACAAGUUCAUGAUACAAAAUCAGAAACAUUAAUAAACAAAAAGAUAUUACCAUUACUUGCAGAGGGGGAUUUGUUGCAAUUAGUAAAUGCCAUACUUAUCACUUUCAUUGCAGAUAUCAUCAUCAUCAUAAUACUAGCAAUCCAGCACUAAUAGUCAGAAUAAUAAUAAUAGUAGCAUGAAUAAAGAAUUUCUGCAGAGUAAGCUCUAAAGAUGCCGAAAGUGUCAUCUAUUAUGUUAAUAAUAAAAAAGUCUAUCAAGAAUUCAAGGAAAGAAAACUCAUUAACAAAGAACUAAACUUUUUAAUAAUGUUUAAUAAACUACGUACCUAUGAUUUUCUAUUAUUAACAUAAAUGACACUACGUACAACUGAUUUUCGCUUUCUAAUGUUUCAAAUCAUACCGAGAAAUAUAACAAUUACCAAGUCAGUAAGUAGCACAAUUACUUAAUAAGACUUUGACUUGUCUAACCCAAAAUUGUACCCAAUUCUAUACUCUACCAUGAAAAGCUUAUGAAGCCGAACUUACUUUGACCAAACAGUACUAUUAGCUCAGUUAAAGGAAACCACAAUUGAACAAAGUUCAGCUGAAAUAACUGAACUAAAAAAACUUGAUAAAAUUAAAAGUAACUUAUAACAGUUUAGUAAAGAAGCAUACAAAACAUGAAGAUAAAUAAACAUAGGUCUAUUUUCUUGACACUACCAGGUCCUUUCCUUUUUUUUUUUUCAGAUAAGAUCUCGAUACUACCAAGUUUUGGAUUCAAAAUCACCAUAUUACAAUAAUAGUUGUGAUUCAUGGGAUACAAUAUGUAGCAGCUUAUAUGUCGGCAAUUAUAGUCAAAGAUGGUUGUCAAACAUCAUCGCAAAUCAAGAAGCUAAUAAAGACCAUGUCACACUACAUUAACAUAUAUCAGUUCUUUGAUACAAAGAUAUUGAAUGUUAUACAUUUCUAAUCCCAAGUCCUGAAAUACAAAACAAAAGUUCACUUCACACAGUCAUAAAGCUAGACUGCUAGAUAAAUGGACAAUAGGCAUUGGAUAUGGGUCAAUAAACUAUUAAGCUAAUUAAUGCACACGAAGGAAUCCGUUAGAGCUAGUAAAAUAGCCCUUACCAGAGAACUCGCAGAAGCAUUCAAUUUCCUCAAAGGAGAUAACUUACAACAUAAACAUUUUGAUAAGCAGCAACACACAUAAAAUAGCUUCACUCACUAGCAACAGAGCAACUUCUUCAACACAUUAAUAAAUCCAUUUUCAUUUUUAAACAACAAAAUAAUGCCCAGUUUCUCCAGCACAAAUAGGGUAAGCAGUAAUAGAAAAACAUGAUACAUAGGAAUUACCGGCCUCAAGAAAUCUCCAAGCUUUCUGUCCUCUGCUUCAAUUGCUCAAUCAAGAAUGCCCCAGACGUUGCGCUAGCGUGGUGGUGGAGCGUCGCGAAGCGUGUGGCGGCGGUGUCGGCGAAGGCAGGUCAUGAAGAUAGUUGGUGUCGCGCAGCGAAGGCAGUGCAGCUGGUGUCAUGCGGCGAAGGCAAAUCGCGUGGUGGUGGAGUUGGGGUCGCGCGGCAGUGGCGGUGCGGUGCUGAGGCAUAAUAGUGGCGGUGGCGUUGUGCGACAGUGGCAGUGUGGAGGCAGAUUGCGUGGAGCUGGCGGUGUUGAGGCAGAUCGCGUGGAGGCAGAUGCCGCGGUGGUGGAGUUGCUGUCGCGAUCAACGCCUGUGAAAGGGAAUGAAAGUGAAGGAGAUACCUACAAAAGAAAGAACGAGUGAAAUUUUUUUUUUUGUUCAAGGGUUUCAAACCCACAUAAACCCGACUCUCACACGGGUUCAGUAAGUUUAUGCGGGUUUGACUGCAUUACAAAUUGGUAUGACCACAACAACAGUACAAUGAUUGGUAAUUACCAAACAUGCUAUUUAUGUUGGUAUUAAAUUAAUUUAAUACAAUGAGGAGUGGUAAUAUCAUACAAUGAGGACUGUUAAAUAUGGUGUGUUUAAUAUGUUGUAUUGUAUUAUAUUAUUUUAAUACAAAUAUAUUAUAUUAUCUUGUAUUAUAAUAUAAAAUAAUGAAAAAUAUCGAAUUUCAAUAUAUAAAAAAAAAAUAAAUAUAUUUUGUUAUAUUCGAUCUGCUGUACGGCCAAGGCGGAUGUACGGUACAGCAGAUAAGAAUUUAAAUACAUACACUUAUAAUACAACUUAGUUUUUCCACAUUGUCGAGGGAUCAAAACAACCCAUCAUUGGAGUCCAAUAAGUUAUGUGGCGACACAAAAAAGUAAUUCUAUAUUUUUUACGUCAUAAAUAUGUAAAAAAAAUUGUAUUAUAUCUUAUUAUUAUUAGUUUUUUUUCUUCAGUUUUGACAAGUAUAGUUUUCUUGUUGAGUGGCUCAACAAGGCUGGUUACAAUUUCGAAAUAAUGUUCCAUCUGUAUCUGUUUUCCUUUUGUUUUUGAUUUUGUAGUAUAGUUAAUUUGUACGAAUUUGUUGCCUGGUUGGUUUUUAUGCUGAAAAGUCAGUUCAUUGGAAAUGACAGAAAAUUGUUUUUCUUUUUCAUUUUUACAGAAAGAGAUUUGCAACGUUAUAAAAGUAAGAGAUCCUAAGAGAUCCCUGAAUCAUAUUAAAUAUUAAACUUAAGAUACAGUCAAGGCUUUUAUUAUGUUACUAAUCAUGUAACGAAUAUAAUUAUGUAGCAGUCGUUAAAUACAAAUUUAACAGUUAUAAAAAUAACAUGAUUUUAUUAUCUUAUAUUUCUAUAAUCGUUGAAUUUUUAUCUGCUGUACCGUACAUCCGCCUUGGCCGUACAGCAGUAUUGAAUUUUAAAAAUUUAAUAUUAUUUUUUUAAUAUAAAUAUUAAAAAAUAUCAUAAUUCUUCAUAGAAAUCGAAGUUCAUGGCAUUAAAUUUUUAACGCCGCAUACAUAAUAAAAAAUUUGAUUCUCUAGUGCCAAUAUAAUAGAAUACAUAAAAACGAGACUGAGAAACUACGAAUAAAGCUCAUCAUCAAGGACUCCACAACAUUAUAAGAAGUACUAUGUAACAUUUGCCAAAUUACAACACCACAUCAAGACAUAUCACAAUGUAAAAUUUUUCCUAGAGAUUUGGUAAUUGAAAAACACAAUUCAAGUUGAAAACUGAUAGUCGACUUGAAAAGUUUUAACAUAUCCCAUAAAAGAAAUGUGCCAUGCCAAAAAUCCUAACCCUUGGCUCUUUGACGAUAAGAAAAUAUUGAAAAUUCCAAAGUACAGUGCAAUGGGAGAAAGAAUGCCUAUAAAGCUAGUAAAGAUAUUCUUAAACUACUAUUGGGAUGUUGGGCUGGUUGGUAGCAAAACCCAAACCCUGCUGCUGAUUUCCGAUACCACCAUCUUGGAUAAGCCGCUCUCCCUCCUCUUCCUAACUCCUAAGCCCAAUAUCUUUCCAAAACCUUCACAACCCACUCAUAAAUCUCAUUGUUGUCGUGGAUAUGCAAAUUCUCAAUCUUUUCUACUCCAUCACACUCAUCAAUCAUUUGGGUAUAAACAUUAACCCAAUUAUCCAUUCCUAUUUCCUUGUUAACCUCACCCACCUUGAAAAUGUUCUCAAGACCCUAUAGACAAACUGUGACGAUCCUUUGGUCCAGACAAACCAGAAGAUCACAGAGCGGUUUGAUGCAACCUUGGCUCACCAGGAAUCUGCAGGACCAUGGUACCAUAAGUGAUUCUAUCACAUGAACAUCAUUAGAUUAAAAAAAGAAAAAAAAAAGAAACAUCUAUCGUAUGAACAUUGCUGAGUGAAUAAAAGAAACAUACUGAAUAUGUUCAUGAGAUCCUCCAUAUGUGGCAUUUAAGACAGGCCAUGCAGCCUCCUUGAUUUCAAGUUCUGCAUGUUGAAGAAGAGGUGCACAAAAGGAAGGAUAAGGAAGGAUGAUAUUGGCCUCCAUAACAGCCUGUUGAACAAAAAUUCGACAAAUUAUAAUUAUGAGUAUAUUUAAGUAGCAAUUUUGUCAGAAUUAACUAGACUUGACUAUUGAGGAAGUCACAUUCAAAAAUAGAAAAGACGAGCAAGCAAUUGUAUUCAUGCUAUCGGGACCAAAAUACUAUGAUGCAAGCAAGAAAGAAAAACAUACAUACAUAUAAAACACUAUCUUUGAGUUGGGUAUUUUCUUUCAAUUUUGAUAAUGGCAACUUUGGAUUCUUCUGCUGAAUUACCACCACCACCACACCAUUGUAGUUUCACAUACUAAGAAAAGGCAGGUUCAGCUCCCGUGCAUGCCCAUAAGAAUAUGAUGUAUUAAUUAGAAGUAAAAUUAAUCUGUUCAAUUAAGUUCUCUCAUAUAUUUGUGUGCGUGUGUGUGUUAAUUAGUUUGCUUUCAAAUCUUUUCUCCCUUCUUAAUGAUAUAUAUUUUAAGCAUGAUAUCAACCACGAUGAAUUUAUUAGCCGAUUUUUAAUUAUACAUUCAGCAUGAUAUCACAAACCAAGAGCUUAAGUUAGCCUAAUUCUUCAUAAAUCUAAUAAUUGCAAUCAAUAAUAAUGCUGAAAAUACGAGUUUGAAUUAAGCUAGCAACUGGUUCUUAAAUUAUGCAAUAUGUAAUCAUAGGUUUACUUAAAGAUUAAAGCAUUUCUGCAAUCCAUUGUGCAAAAAGAUUAAAAAAAAAAAAAAUAGUUGCCAAAUUUUAUCUAAAUAAAAAUUCCUUUAGUGGUUAGUACUUGUGAAUUAUAGAAAUUAUUAUUAGUACUUGCUCAGCGCUUUUUAGAUUUGUACAGGUAGAUUACGCCAUUUCAAACCCGACCAUCCAUUUAGACAUACAAAUCCCCCCAAUUCCCUGUCCUCCGCCUUUACGCGACUCUCCACUGUAUGUGCCAACUAAUUAAUUUUUUAAUUACUUGUUUAACUAAUUAAUUCAUUUUCUCAAAAGCAAGAUUAAUCUAUUUGUUCAAAUCUGAAGGAGAUUAAGUUAAUUGAUUUUAUUGUAUGUAAAAAUAUACAAAGAACUCAUGAAGCCAACUAGAAAAAAAAAAAAAGACAAAAAAAAAAUCAAACCCAGAAAUAAAAAGACAUGCUUCGACAGAAAAUUAAUGAAAAUUAUACUGAUUGUGGUUCAAUUUGAUCAAACCCAAAUAAUAACCGGUUUGAUUGAUGACUCAGCGGCAAAGUGCAGGCGCAUCAGUGGUUGCACAGAUGAGUGUUCUCGUGCGGCACGACAAAGCAAUUGUCGGCGAUUGUGAUUGGUGAUGACAUCGAGCGAUGGGGGUAAUGGCAUCGGUCGUGACUUUGUGAUGGAGAAACGAAUGUUAGAUUCGUUCGAAGAUUCGUGUUUUGAUUGAAUAACAAAGAGAGAUUUUAUGAGUUUUAAUUAUCUAAUACGAUACCGCAUAAACCCGACUCGUACGUGGGUUUAUUUUAUGCGGGUUUCGGUGUACUAAAGCAGUAAAUUUAUGUGGUGCAAUUCAAACUGAUUUCACCGCCAAAAGAUCGUGUAAAUUUAAUAUUAUACAGGGUUUUAAUACUAUGUAAUCCAAUACACCAAACAUGCCCUUAAAAACGGAUAGCAAUCCGGGGCCUUUAAAAACGGAAAAUACAAGCAGAGAAAAAGAAAAGCCAAUUGUUCAAAAGUGCCUAAUAUGCCCACGGAAAAUUUUCGUCACGACCCACAGUUACUCGAAUAGGUAAUAAGACAGGAAUGCCUUUGUUUGUUCGAAUAUAGAAGCACAAUGGCUCAGAAAGGAUCCCUCCAAUCUCCUUGGCACUGUCAGCUGGGUGCGGAGUAGCUUGGUGGCAGCAACCAUGUUUGAGAGGGCUGGCUUCACCUCAGUGUACUUGCGAGUCUUGAGACCACAGUCAGGGUUAACCCACAAAAUGUUGGUUUCUAGCACAGUACGCAUCUCGUAGAUUCUGUCAACAAUUUCUUCGGUUGAUGGUAUUCUUGGAGAGUGGAUGUCAUAGACGCCAGGGCCAAUUGCAGCAUCAUACUGGACUCCCUCACGGAAGACUGACAGGAGAUUCUCAUUAGAACGAGAGUUCUCAAUGGUGAUCACAUCAGCAUCCAUGUCGAUAAUUGAGUGGAUAAUGUCGUUGAAGUUGGAGUAGCACAUGUGGGUGUGGAUCUGUCAAUCAAUAAACAAUAGAAUGAGAUACAAAAUCAACAGCUAAAUUAAAGAGAUGAGAUUGGAGAUUAAAAGGGUAACUGACCUGGGUAGUGUCCUGGAUGCCACAGUUGGUGAUUCUGAAGGAGUGGACUGCCCAGUCCAAGUAGAAAGCAUGCUCAGAUUUCCUGAGAGGCAAUCCUUCCCUCAAGGCAGCCUCAUCAAUUUGAAUAACGUUAAUGCCUGCCUUCUCAAGAUCCUCGACUUCGUCCUUGAUGGCCAAAGCAAUCUGGUAGCAGGUUUCAUGUCUGCAAAAUUGGCAGCGAUUGAUGUUAAACAAUGUUUCCAUUCCAAAAGGUUAACCAAUAGUGAACCAGUUCUCAUUUAUAUACCUGGGCUGGUCAUUUCUGACAAAGGACCAGUUGAGAAUGGUGACAGGGCCAGUAAGCAUUCCCUUCAUUGGGCGAGCAGUCAUGCUCUGAGCCCAGGAGGACCAGAAGACGGUCAUAGCCUUGGGACGGCUCACAUCACCAUAGAUGAUGGGUGGCUUCACACAGCGAGAUCCAUAGGAUUGCACCCACCCAUUGGCAGUGAAGGCGAAACCUGAUAACUGCUCUCCAAAGUACUCAACCAUGUCGUUUCUCUACAAAAACAAAUGUCCGAAUUCAAUUUGAGAUCCAGCAUACUUCGUAUGCAAUUAGAAAUGCAGAAACAAAAAUGUAUAAAAUUUUAUGUAAUUCAAAACCAGGAGACAUUGCUUUGCUUCCAUUGGGCAUUGCGAGACUCACCUCAGGCUCUCCAUGGACAAGGACAUCAAUAUCAAGCUCUUCUUGGAGUUUGACAACCUUGUUGAUUUCCUCCUUGAUGGAAGCAACAUAUUCUUCCUCAGAAAUCCUAAAAAGGACAAAUAGUCACGGCACAGUUAAUACAGUAGUUGCAGUAAUUUCACACAUGGCAUUGAAUGAAGAAACACCUCAGAUUGACUCACUUCUUAGCCUUGUAUUCACGGCGGACUCUCCUAAGUUCAAUGGUUUGUGGGAAGGAUCCAAUUGUGGUGGUUGGGAGGAUUGGAAGAUUGAGCUUCUUCUGUUGAGCAUCUAAUCUAGCACUAACGUUUGUAGCACGUCUGUGGUCUGAUCCCCUCAAAGCAGCAGCCUAAUAGACCAAGAGGAAGGAAUCACUGUUAGCAAAAAAGGAAAUUCUAAGGGACAGCCACAUCAUAAAAAUGGAAAACAAAUCAAUCAUGCCACUUACAGCCUUUUGAACUGCCUCAUUGGUCACUCUCGGGGAGGACUUUCUUGAAGCCUGAGCUGCAGCAUUGGCAGAGAAGAAUCCCUGGAAACAAAUGAUAAGGAGAACCAAAGUUAGUCUCAUUCAUAUCAUUUUAAAAAGAAGAUACAUAUGCAAUUAGUGGGCUGAUUGUGAGAGAAAAAGUCCCCAAAACUUUAAUCAAACACCAAAUGCCCAAGUUGCCAAAUGAUGUUUAAUUCGGAAAAAUAUAUUUAAAAACAUUCAAAUAUAAUUUCCCCUUCUAAAUUUUCAUUUUCAACAACAUAUUUUACAAGCCAAGCUCAACGUCAGGCCAAGAUUUUGUGCUCCUAUAAUUAUAUUUUACCAUAAAACUAGGUCCUUGAAAGGCUAAGAUUUUCUGACUCUUGUGACUAGUCAAAGCCUAAGAUUCUUUCAAUUCAUCCGUAGUAAAAGUAUACCUCAUCCUUUUGGCCAGCCAAAGCCUUGGCCAAUGCAUUGACUUCAACAACUUUCUGGGCAGCAAAUGCCAGCCAUGACUUGAUUUCGUCGUCGAGUUUGUUCUCAUUAACAAGAUCAACAGCAGUGUGAAGAAGUGAGCAGGAGGUGGAGACCACAAGCUUGUCUGCAAAGAAAAGUAAUAAAUUAUACAACAAAUCCCAUAAUAGAAUAAGAAAUAUUUAUCACAAAGAAAAAUGCAAGCAAAGGAUGUAUACCUUUGCCAACAACACCCUCAAGCCCCCGGAGAACACUAAGAGAAGCAGCAAGAUCAUUGGCCCAAAUGUUCCUUCCAUCAACCACUCCAGCAAAGAGGUACUUGCCAGCAGGGAAUCCACUCUUGAUCAAUUCAAGGGUCUUGGUUCCACGAACCAAAUCAAAUCCAUAAGCGGUGACACCCUUCAAAGAAGUGAGGGUCUGGAAUGCCUCAGCUGGAACAUCAGCAAAGUAGGUCUCAACAAGAACAUUCAAGCCAGACAGAGUUGACUCUAGUUCCGCGUAAGCCUCACUGAAUGCUUGCAAUUUGUGUGAGUCAAGAUCCGUAACAAGCAAUGGCUCAUCAAACUGAAUCCAGGAAGCACCAGCAGCCUUAAGCUCAGAAACAACUUCCCUGCAGAAGUGUUAAUUGGUACGACACGGAUUAAUGAUGCCACACGAUACACACACACACACACACACACACACACACACACACACACACACACACACACACACACACACACACACACACACACACACACACACACACACACACACACACACACACACACACACACAGACAGAGUUAUUUAGCACAUACACGUUUAUAAAUCUGUAAAUAGGUGAUAAUUCUUACUUGUAGAUCGGAAGGAUUUUGGGAAGAAGAGAGAGAACAGAAAAGGUCUUCUCAACCCCCCAGGCAGGCUUAGACAGCAACAAGUAUGACACAGGGCCAAUAAGCACUGGGACAGUUUCAACUCCAUGCUGCAGCAUUAGACAAGUGGUAGAUAUUAGCAUCUCACAAACUUGAUCUGACUGAUAGAAAGUUACAAGCAAGUUAAGAAUAUGUUUGAUGAAAUUUCAAUGAAAAAUCUUCAGGGUCCACAACAUGUUGACUAUACCCUUUUUAAGUAAUUUAUCUUAAGACUAUUUUGCAAACAGUAUUGCUUCCCUUUACAGAUCAAAUAAAUCAUACAACAUCUGAACGCAUUUCCUGAGCCAAAUAUAAGUUCAAAGCUCUAUAAUAAAUGUCAAUGACUCUAUAGUAAAUUCCAUCACAUUCUGAGCUAUGGAUGAGCAUAUCAUAUGCCAAUUUCAAGUUGAACGUAACCCAAUUUCAACAUAUUGUAGAUUCAAGUAUCAAACGAAAAAAAAAAUAUUGUAAAUAUAGACAGAACUGAGAACAAACACUCACCCCCUUAGCCUCCUUGUACUCAGUCACAGCCUUGUGGGAAGCGUAGGAGAACUUAACAUCGGGUCCCAAUUCAGGAACAAUGAAAUGACUGCAUCAACACGAAGCCAAACACACGUCAGCAUUCAGUACAAAACCAUUACACCAUAACUAACUUGAAAUGCCGCUCUUCCAAGUAGUGAAUACUUACUAGUUGGUGUCGAACCACUUGGUCAUUUCCAUUGCGAGAACAGAGGCGUUUCCUCUGGCCAUGGAGAAGUAAACAUCGAAUCCAAUCUCGCCGCCGUUCCAGUUAAACCUCGGGGGCACGGCACCGAGCAUUGCGGUGGUGUCGAGCACUUGGUCGUAGUAGGAGAAAGUGUUGCUGGGAAUGUAUUUGAUCCCGGCCUCGGACAUCUGUUUCCAGAUGGAGGAUCUGAGAUCAGCGGACACCUUUUGCAAAUCCUCGGCGCUGCUCUUGCCAUCCCAGAAGGAUUCCAACGCGAACUUGAGCUCCCUCUUGGGGCCCAUGCGUGGGUAACCAACGAUGUGAGAUGCCAUUUUACUGUCAUAAUCACGUCAUCAAUGAAUCGAAAAUCAGUCCCUUCCAUUAAAUCAAGAAAUUAUUAAUUCAAAUGAAUGGAUCACAUUGUAUAUAUAUGGGAUAAAUAUAAUUAUGAACAAAAGCGUCUAAUCAAUCACAAAAAGCAAGCGACUGCAUCAAAUUUAGGGAUCCGACCCGACCCGACCCGAUCUGUAAAUUCCGGUUUCAAUCGGAUUAAGAUGAAACCUCUAACCCGAUAUAGUUGGAUUUUGGCCAACUCGAUCGGAUCAGAUCGGAUCGGAUUAAACUUAGUCCAAUCCGAAAAAUUCAAAAAAUCAAAACUACAAUAAGUAUAAAUCUAAAUUUUCAAUUCAAUUUGAUCUAAUCUGAAUAUAUUCGAAUCGGAUCAAAUACUAUGCUCUGCUUAAACUUGGAUUAUAUUUUUUUCAAUUUGAUUAACCUAAAAUUCGAUUGGAUAGAUCCAAAACUGAAUUUAUCUACCCCUCAGUCAUCAAUCAAUUACAAAACCUAAAAUCCGAUUGGAUAGAUCCGAAACUGAAUUUAUCCACCCUUAAGUCAUCAAUCAAUUACAAAGGCGACUGAUGUUUAUACAAUGGACAAUUAUUAAGUUACAGCUCUUGUAAUUUACAACUUAUACAAAAAUAUGUGAAAAAUUGUGAUAGGCAGUACAGUGUCAUGAUUUUAUACAAAAAUAUGUAAACAAUUGUGAUAGACGGUAGAACCUCAUGAUUUUAUAAAAAAUACGUAAAAAGUUGGGAUAAGUAAUGGAGCCCGCAUAAUUUUUUAUCAGCUGCAAGUUGCAAGUUACAGCAACUGUAACUUAGCGACCCCGACUUCAAUGUAAAAUGAGAAAGUACUCCUCCGCAUAGUACCUGAUGCUCAAAAGUCAAAUCACACGAAAUGCAAAUAGACUUAUCAGAGCAUAAAACCUUAUAUUACUUUUUGAAAAACGAUUUGAAACAAGGGCAAAAUUACAGUGUAACCGUACUUAGUCAUUGAAUUCAGCUCACAAUUAUCAUUAUAGUUAGAUCUAAUAACUAGAUCCAACUGUAUCCACAGUUAUAUUGUAGUUAGAUCUGAUAACUAAAUCCAGAUCCAGCUGUCCCCACAAUUGUCAUUAUAGUUAGAUCUAAUAAUUAGAUUCGGCUGAUUCAGCUGUGAUGUAGUACCCUGUAGUGCCAUAACUGGACAAAGAAACAAACUGAUAUAUUUUCUUUUUUGAAACAAACUGAUACUAAUCCAAGAGUUUCAGAUGAUCGGUUUUUUUUUUUUUUUCUAUAGUCACAUCAAUAAUUAAGUACUUUCAGUCAUUUUCGAAGGAUUAAAACGAAAACUCUAAAAAAAUUCUGAGAAUGAAGAAUCCGAAAAUAGAUUCAGAAAUAGUAACACAAGUAGAGGUCAGAUUGUUUUUUGGAAAAGAUUAAUUGCAGAUCUGAUGAACUCAAGUCUAGAUCUAGCAAAAUCACGGCAGCCAAACACUAGAUCUAAGACUAACAGUCACUCACCAGUCGAUCAGAAAGUGAAAUCAAGUUCAAAAUUCUUUUUUUUUAAUAGAUCCAAAAGCUAAUAUACAUAUAUAUAUGGCAAAAUAUAUAUACCGUACCCGAGAAGGACGAGCAGAGAAAUUAAGCUUUUUUCGAGAGAACGAGAAAGAAGAGAGACGAGACUGUUAGAAAUUGCUGUCAGUUUAAUUUUUAUUUAUAGCCAAAAACCUAACCUUGUUUAGUGGUUACUGGUUACCGUCUUCGGCGGUGUUGAUCUGAGAUUUAUCAUUUUAAUUUCUUUCUCUUACUUAUUUAUUUAAUUUGGGUCCAACUACGGUGAAACUGUAGUACCGUGCUACAGUUAUUUUCAACCGUUUGAUUCACUUGGAUGGUGGGAUCCAAUAAAAUCCAAUAACUGGGUGCAACCGUAGCACGGUGCCGCAGUUGCACCACAGUUUUUCCCAUUUAUUUAUUAUGCUUUCAGUGCAGUUGGCAAAAACAUGGAGCUUACGCGCGCUUUUCUGAUGUGGCGCGUGAAUUGGAAAUGUGGUAGAUCUUUGUGGAUCCGCCGGUGCAGUGAAGAGUGAAGGAAAAAAGAGAAAAGUUAUCAUGCCAGAUCAUUUGAAGAGAGCCGCAAUUAGUAAUUACACCACAAUAUAUUUCUGAUUAUUUGCUUACUUUGAUGAUGUUUUUACUGAUUAGUAAUUGGAAUAUGUUAGAAUCUAAAUAUAGUAGAAUCAUAAUAGAGUUGAAUCAAAAUAGACUAUAAUUAGAAUGGAUAAUGGGAAUUAGAAGAAUUAUUUGCUUUAGUUGUGAGAAUCCAAAUUGGAAUGAACUAUAUUGUCGUUGAUAUGUUUACUUUAUCAUAGAAUAUGAAUGAAUUAUUACAAGUUACUAAACAGACCUUAAGUUGAUUAUUGUCAUUAUUUAUUUAUUUAUUAUUAUUAUUAUUAUUAUCAUCAUCAUCAUCAUCAAAAUUAUUAAUCUUAUUAUUAAUGUUAAUUAUAAUAAUUAAUAAUUAUAAUAGUAUUAUAAUAAUAAUAAUAAUAAAAGCAAUCAUAAAAUGAGAAUUUCAAGAUUUAAGUAGAGAUAAUAUAAUUAUUUUAGAAAAUGAGAAUUUCCAUGAGAAUGUGAACUCUAUUAAUCAUUCCCAAUUUGAAGUGGGGCCUGCCAUUUUGAUUCAAUCUCUCAUUUAAGCAAGUAAAUACGACAUUUAUUCUCAUUCCCUCAUUCCCACUCUCAGGUAGCGUUUGUUUUUUAACUUAAUGACUUAAAGUGACUUAACUUAAUUAAUUAAGUUAAUUAGAGGUGUUUAUUUUUAUAACUUAAUGAGACUUUUUAGAUAAUUUUGACUUAAUAAAAUGAGCCAAUUUUUUUUGGCUUUUUACUUAAUGGAGAAAUUUGAAUUUAGUCAAUUACUUACUAAUGUCAAAAAUAUCUAUGUUUUAUAAUUUAUUUUUCAUGUCUAUCCCAAAACUCACCCAUAGACAUUUACCCCACAUAAAAAUAUCCCUAUUUUUUCUUUCUUAUAUUAUAUACGAUAAAAUUUGAAAUUUAUGGUAUUUUAUAUAUUAAAAUUCUAAAAUAAUUAUGUAUUCACUUGAAUAUAGUUUUACUUAUAACUGUUAAAAUAUUGUGGUAUUUAAUAUAUUAUUUAUUUGACAUUAAAAUUUAAUAAGGAUACAAAUGUAAAAGUACAUAUUUUCAGUUUUUUCAGUUAAAAAAAAAGCAACUUAAUACUUAUUUUUCGAGAUUCAGACGAAAAAAUAAACAUAUUAUUCAUAUUCAGACAUUUAGAUAUAUUCAGAAUUCAAACUAAUUCAGGUCUAUUCAGAUUUUAGACAAAAAAAACAAACGCCACCUCAAUCAAUAAACACACCAUAAAUGUAGAGUUGUUACUAUUAGAAUACAUUAUAAUUCAUCACAAUUAUGAUAGGUAUAUACGUGUGUAAUAAUUUAUAUAAGAUGCUAAAUUUUGAAAAUAAUAAAAAAUCAUUUAUACAUAUUUAAAAAAAUCAUUAAUACAUUAAAAUGUGCAUCACAUAUACAUUUACAUAAUAGCAAUGACCAUAGUAUAAAAAAAACUCCUAAAAGAGAACGACUUCGUUAUUUAUGUUAUUUUAUAUAUUUUUAAUUGAUUAUUAAAAGGAUCAAUUGUUAAUUAUUAUUCUCCAAACAUAAUCACCGUUAAACAUUUAUUCAAUUUAACAAUAGGUAGAUGUUAAAUAAUAUUGGAAUAUUUAAUGAACAAUAUAAUCACUAUUGCAGUUGUUUUUUUUUUUUAGUAAUGGAUUAUUCGAAACUCAAAUUCAUUUUUUAGCCCCCUUACCUCUCUUAAAAUUCAAAUUUAAGUGACUAAACAAAUAAAACUGCUUAAAAUCUAUACGACUACAUCUUUGGGGACCAAUUAAUAUGGAUGUUUAAAUCUUGAUUUAUUAUUAAAUCUUUGAGUUUCAACCACUAAUAACAUCAUCAUCGAUUAAUGACAAAUAAAAUAAUACAUCAUCAAAACCAUUAAACACGUCCAUCAAUAUCAAAAACAAGUAAAAAGUUUAGCAUGUAUUUCAAAUAUACUUUUCAUCCCAAAAGUUGUAGAGAAAGUCUCGAUAUCAAUGUCACUAUGAGACGUAAUUUUAUAUUUAAAGUCAGCGCAACUUAAAAAUUACUAUGAAUGAAUAAUACACCAUAAAAAAAUUAUUUAUAAGUAUUUUCAUCAUGUAUUUUUAUUUAACAAUGGUGACAUUUAUUUUUUAACUUAAUGACUUAAAGUGGCUUAACUUAAUUAAUUAAGUUAAUUUUAGGUGUUUGUUUUUAUAACUUAAUAGGACAUUUUAGAUAAUUUUGACUUAAUAAAAUAGGCCAAUUUUUUUUAACUUUUUACUUAAUAGAGAAAUUUGAAUUAAGUCAGUUACUUUCUAAUGUAAAAAAAUAUUCCUACUUUAUAAUUUAUUUUUCAUGCAUAUUCAAAAACUCACCCAUAGAUAUUUACCCCACAUAAUCUCAUCUUUAUUUUCUUCCAGCCGUCAUGGAAUCCCUCCUCACUUUGCUUCUCUCCUCUAGUUCUUGAAUCUCCCUUUAAUUUCUCGCUAGGCAAAGCACUUGAAUUGGGCUUUUUUUUUUUCCUUUUCAAUUACGUUUUCCAACAUUCACUUAUAUAAUAAUCAACUAGUUGCUACUCUUUUUAGUGAUAAAAUUUGAAAUAUGGUAUUUUAUAUAUUAAAUUUUCAAAAUUAUGUAUUCACUUAAAUGUAGUUUUACUUAUAAAUAUUAAAAUAUUAUGUUAUUUAAUAUAUUAUUUAUUUGACAUUCAAAUUUAAUAAGGAUAUAAAUGUAAAAGUACAUAUUUUUAAUUUUUUAAGUUGAAAAAAUAACUUAAUAUUUAUUUUCAGAUAUUCAAAUAAAAAAUAUAUUAUUUAAAUUCAAAAAUUUAAAUCUAUUCAAAAUUUAAAGUAAUUCAGGUCUAUGCAUAUUUCAAUCAUAAAAACAAAUGCCACAUGAGUCAUUCAAUUUCUAAUUAAGAGGAUAAAAAAUAGAUUUGGACUAUCCUAAGACAAAAACAAAAAAAAAAACAAAAAUAAGAUUUCCUAAUAAGUGUACUAACGUGGUCACGCGCCUUGAGAAACGCUUGGACCUAACACACUAUUUUAAUCCGAUAUGCAAAAAAAGAAAAAAAAAAAAAAGGAAAAAUUAUGAGAUGUAUAAGUUUCUAGAGACGUGUUAAAUUUUGAUGAAACAAUGAAGAAAGUCGGUGGCCGAAGUUGGUAUGGGGCAAUGCGAAUGGUGGUUGGCCCACGUUGCCCUGUAAUUGGAGUUGUUAUAAUUUUUCUUAUAAUUAAUAGGACUUGACACAGACUGCAGCAUCAGCCGUUGGAUGUGGAGGGAGAAACUAAACAAUAGAAAACCGUAUGGUGGGAUGACGGUAGAUGUUUGUUACAGAAACUGUACCAUAGACAGGUCCUAAUUAAUAAGCUCUACGUUUUGAAACAAUAAAUAAACUCCAGAUGACCAAAAUAUCAUUUCAUACUGCUACCUAGACAUCUUGGCGAGGGUGGGUAAUGUGGGGCCCGGAGCUUGUUUGAUCGUCAAUUAUUCUCUGGUUUGGUGAAACGAAUGGACGGACGAUGGUGAUGGCUUUUAGGAGAUUAGUAUUAUUAUUAUUAUUAUUAUUAUUACAUUGAGAUCGUAAAACAAAAAAUUCAAUUAAUAAUAUAAAAUAUUUAUUUAAUUUAUUAAUUAUUAUAUAUACACAAUAAAAAAAUUUAUAUACAUAUUUAUAAAUGUGUAAAUAAAUUUCAUUCAAUAUUAUAUCCAAUUAAUCAUUUAUAUUUUUCUGCUGUACCGUACAUCCGCCUUGGCCGUACAGCAGUAAAGCUGCUGAUGCUUUAUCGCGAAUUCAUGAGGAAAAUGUGAUUGAAGAACCCAAACCAACAACUCUUUGUUUGUCGUUAGACAUUUACCCCACAUAAAAAUAUCCCUAUUUUUUCUUUCUUAUAUUAUAUACGAUAAAAUUUGAAAUUUAUGGUAUUUUAUAUAUUAAAAUUCUAAAAUAAUUAUGUAUUCACUUGAAUAUAGUUUUACUUAUAACUGUUAAAAUAUUGUGGUAUUUAAUAUAUUAUUUAUUUGACAUUAAAAUUUAAUAAGGAUACAAAUGUAAAAGUACAUAUUUUCAGUUUUUUCAGUUAAAAAAAAAGCAACUUAAUACUUAUUUUUCGAGAUUCAGACGAAAAAAUAAACAUAUUAUUCAUAUUCAGACAUUUAGAUAUAUUCAGAAUUCAAACUAAUUCAGGUCUAUUCAGAUUUUAGACAAAAAAAACAAACGCCACCUCAAUCAAUAAACACACCAUAAAUGUAGAGUUGUUACUAUUAGAAUACAUUAUAAUUCAUCACAAUUAUGAUAGGUAUAUACGUGUGUAAUAAUUUAUAUAAGAUGCUAAAUUUUGAAAAUAAUAAAAAAUCAUUUAUACAUAUUUAAAAAAAUCAUUAAUACAUUAAAAUGUGCAUCACAUAUACAUUUACAUAAUAGCAAUGACCAUAGUAUAAAAAAAACUCCUAAAAGAGAACGACUUCGUUAUUUAUGUUAUUUUAUAUAUUUUUAAUUGAUUAUUAAAAGGAUCAAUUGUUAAUUAUUAUUCUCCAAACAUAAUCACCGUUAAACAUUUAUUCAAUUUAACAAUAGGUAGAUGUUAAAUAAUAUUGGAAUAUUUAAUGAACAAUAUAAUCACUAUUGCAGUUGUUUUUUUUUUUUAGUAAUGGAUUAUUCGAAACUCAAAUUCAUUUUUUAGCCCCCUUACCUCUCUUAAAAUUCAAAUUUAAGUGACUAAACAAAUAAAACUGCUUAAAAUCUAUACGACUACAUCUUUGGGGACCAAUUAAUAUGGAUGUUUAAAUCUUGAUUUAUUAUUAAAUCUUUGAGUUUCAACCACUAAUAACAUCAUCAUCGAUUAAUGACAAAUAAAAUAAUACAUCAUCAAAACCAUUAAACACGUCCAUCAAUAUCAAAAACAAGUAAAAAGUUUAGCAUGUAUUUCAAAUAUACUUUUCAUCCCAAAAGUUGUAGAGAAAGUCUCGAUAUCAAUGUCACUAUGAGACGUAAUUUUAUAUUUAAAGUCAGCGCAACUUAAAAAUUACUAUGAAUGAAUAAUACACCAUAAAAAAAUUAUUUAUAAGUAUUUUCAUCAUGUAUUUUUAUUUAACAAUGGUGACAUUUAUUUUUUAACUUAAUGACUUAAAGUGGCUUAACUUAAUUAAUUAAGUUAAUUUUAGGUGUUUGUUUUUAUAACUUAAUAGGACAUUUUAGAUAAUUUUGACUUAAUAAAAUAGGCCAAUUUUUUUUAACUUUUUACUUAAUAGAGAAAUUUGAAUUAAGUCAGUUACUUUCUAAUGUAAAAAAAUAUUCCUACUUUAUAAUUUAUUUUUCAUGCAUAUUCAAAAACUCACCCAUAGAUAUUUACCCCACAUAAUCUCAUCUUUAUUUUCUUCCAGCCGUCAUGGAAUCCCUCCUCACUUUGCUUCUCUCCUCUAGUUCUUGAAUCUCCCUUUAAUUUCUCGCUAGGCAAAGCACUUGAAUUGGGCUUUUUUUUUUUUCCUUUUCAAUUACGUUUUCCAACAUUCACUUAUAUAAUAAUCAACUAGUUGCUACUCUUUUUAGUGAUAAAAUUUGAAAUAUGGUAUUUUAUAUAUUAAAUUUUCAAAAUUAUGUAUUCACUUAAAUGUAGUUUUACUUAUAAAUAUUAAAAUAUUAUGUUAUUUAAUAUAUUAUUUAUUUGACAUUCAAAUUUAAUAAGGAUAUAAAUGUAAAAGUACAUAUUUUUAAUUUUUUAAGUUGAAAAAAUAACUUAAUAUUUAUUUUCAGAUAUUCAAAUAAAAAAUAUAUUAUUUAAAUUCAAAAAUUUAAAUCUAUUCAAAAUUUAAAGUAAUUCAGGUCUAUGCAUAUUUCAAUCAUAAAAACAAAUGCCACAUGAGUCAUUCAAUUUCUAAUUAAGAGGAUAAAAAAUAGAUUUGGACUAUCCUAAGACAAAAACAAAAAAAAAAACAAAAAUAAGAUUUCCUAAUAAGUGUACUAACGUGGUCACGCGCCUUGAGAAACGCUUGGACCUAACACACUAUUUUAAUCCGAUAUGCAAAAAAAGAAAAAAAAAAAAAAGGAAAAAUUAUGAGAUGUAUAAGUUUCUAGAGACGUGUUAAAUUUUGAUGAAACAAUGAAGAAAGUCGGUGGCCGAAGUUGGUAUGGGGCAAUGCGAAUGGUGGUUGGCCCACGUUGCCCUGUAAUUGGAGUUGUUAUAAUUUUUCUUAUAAUUAAUAGGACUUGACACAGACUGCAGCAUCAGCCGUUGGAUGUGGAGGGAGAAACUAAACAAUAGAAAACCGUAUGGUGGGAUGACGGUAGAUGUUUGUUACAGAAACUGUACCAUAGACAGGUCCUAAUUAAUAAGCUCUACGUUUUGAAACAAUAAAUAAACUCCAGAUGACCAAAAUAUCAUUUCAUACUGCUACCUAGACAUCUUGGCGAGGGUGGGUAAUGUGGGGCCCGGAGCUUGUUUGAUCGUCAAUUAUUCUCUGGUUUGGUGAAACGAAUGGACGGACGAUGGUGAUGGCUUUUAGGAGAUUAGUAUUAUUAUUAUUAUUAUUAUUAUUACAUUGAGAUCGUAAAACAAAAAAUUCAAUUAAUAAUAUAAAAUAUUUAUUUAAUUUAUUAAUUAUUAUAUAUACACAAUAAAAAAAUUUAUAUACAUAUUUAUAAAUGUGUAAAUAAAUUUCAUUCAAUAUUAUAUCCAAUUAAUCAUUUAUAUUUUUACAGCGGUUUAAUAAUAAUAUUUACUAAAUACAUAUGAUUAUUUUUAAAAUUCACAGUAUUUUUAAAAAUAAAUUUUAUAAAAUUUUUAACUAAUUUUCUUUACAACUAACUAUUGAACGGUUUAACUAAUAGUAAUUAUUUUUAAAAUUAUAGUAUUAUCAAAUUAGUCCUAUGUCAAAUUUGUUAUUGCUGUUUUUUUUUUAAUUAAAAAAUUACAUAGUGCAUACGUGCAUAAUAUGCCCAACUCAAAAAUUCACACAAAAUAUACUAUUUAACUUUAAGGCUUUAAUUGAAAAAAAAAAUUAAGAUUAAGAUGAAUAAAUACUAGAACAUAACAAAUAGAUAAACUCUCCCAUUCUUUAAAAAGAUUAAUUUUAUUUUAAACUUACACUUCGAAUUCAAAGUAGACAUUGAUUGAUAAAAUUAUACAAACGGAUCAAUAUUCCUACAUUUUCUUUUUAAUUUCAAAACCAACAGAUAUUGUUUGUUCAUUAUAUGACCUCCAAACAAAUAAUUUCAUUAAUAAAAUAAUAAUGAAAAGUGUCGUGAUGGGUAUAGAGUAAUUAGGUGGCUAAGUUUCUACUUUUCAUUCUAACUCUUGAGGUUGGUAGGCGCGUGGGUGGUCCACAAAACCCGUGGACGGUAGCAUUCAAACAAAGACUGGAGGCACCAGAAAAAUGUCCAAAAAGUGUGAAACCGUGACGUGUUCAACAUGUUAAUAAAUUUAGGCAAAUGUUAAAGUUACGGAGCUGGCUACGUUACAGAAACUGUACGUAACAGCCAUGCAUUUUUUAUUCGUUGGAUCUAGAGACUGAAAUUGGAUGGUUGGGAUUAAAGGCCAGAAUAGAAAUUAAUCACGGGCAACCGUUUUUAACAUUUAGAAGGGUUUAUUUUCAUGCACACCCAAAUAUUUUGACAAAUAUCAAUAUGCACCCAGUAACUUUUUAUGUAAAACCACAUAACCGACCCGUUAACUUUUCUACUAUUGAAUUAAAAAACUAUCAUGCCUCAAUUGAAUUAAAUUGAUCAGGUAAAAUAUCUUUUAUAACUUGUCAAUUUUUACAGUGAAAUAUACGAGUAUUUAGUAAAAUCAAAUUUAUUUUUUAUUCAGUAAUCAAAUUUUUUUAUUUAGUGAAAUCAAAAUUAUUUUUCUUUAGUUGUAAGAUUUUUUUAACAAAAAAAUUCUAAAAUCAGAUUUAACUCAUUUACUAUUUUAAAAAAUGAACUUUUUACUAACCAAACUAGAGUUUAUCUUUAGUCAACAUAUUUUUUUCUCUAAAAUAACCUUUGAUAGAAUUACUUAUAUAAACAUGUCAGUAUCAAAAUUACUUCAUAUUUUACCAUCCAUCAAUUUAAACUAGUGUGAAAUUUUUUUAGUUUGAUAUUGAAAAUAUGAUAGUUGAUGAGAGAAAUCUAAUUCAAAUUUACAGAUAGAAUAGUUUCUUAUAAUUGCGUACAUGGUAUAUCAAAAAUAUUUUUUUGUGAGUUUUUAAAAAAAUUGUGUCACAAGAUGAAAUUAUCUCUUGAUUUUUCAAUUCCUGGAAUUUAUGUAAAACAAUAAACACAAGUAAAUCUUUUGGUUUGUGACUUCUUGAAGGAAUGUUUGGGAACGCACAAGUUCCUCUCUCCUUCAAAAAGAAUGAUAAGUGCAAAUACCAACCUAGAAAAUUGAUUUAUAAUUCAAAGAAGAUUUGAUUGAAGAUGAUUAAUUGAAAUUUAUCUUUGCAUGAUGUCAAACAUUUUUCAAAAUGACUAAGUCAAGUCUCUUUGUUAAUUCAAAUCAAGAAAAAUUAGAAAAAUAUUAAUGCAUAGAAAUUCUACUAAGAGUUAUUUAUGAAAUUCUCAAACGAAUAGAAAUUAAAUUAACAUUUUUAAAUUUUAGUUAUGGGUUUAUUUUAAAAAUGGGUUUAGAAAGAAAUUUGAGGGGUUUAAAGAACCCCGCCCUUUCUUUAAUUAUUCGGUGAAUUUGAAAUAUAUUAAUAAGGUAUAAGAAUAUGUUAUUCUAAUCUUCUUAUGCAAAAUCUAUGCAAUUAAAAAAAAAUUCACCAAACGGUAUUUGUCUUUUUAUUGACAUUUAAUAAUAUUGAUGGCAAAUAUAUACAAUUAUCAAUCAAUUGUUAUCAACUAUUCAAGAUAACUGAAAAACUAAUUGCGUGAAGUUGGAGUAAUGAUUGUUUGAAUUGCCAAGAGUUUUUUUUUAAUAGAAACUAUUGCAAUUCAUAUCAUUAAAAAACUUAAAGACUACAAGUCGAAUAAAAAAUCUUUCCUUAUAAAAGAAUUUGACCAACUCAAAGUACAGUGUUAAAUCCUUGAGAUACAAUGAACCUAAAAAUCCUACUUUGACACACCACAAAUAAUGAAUCUAACUUAACAAUCAAUGGAGAUAAAUCAAUUUUACUAGCAAAAUAUAAGCCAAAACACAAGGCAACGUCUUCACCAAAAUCAAUAUCAUUCAAAUAAUUCCCCUUGUGAACGCCUGAAGCUAUCAUAAAAACAACAAAAAAUAAAAAAAUAAAAACAAGUAGACAAGCAAAAAAAUUCCCCAAUAACAAGUUACCCUACAAAACUUUUCCUUGUAGAACAUACACAGAAACCGCAGCUAUAGGGCUAUCGAAAGUAGGGAUGGCAAUGGGGAGGGGAGGGGAGGGGACCAAUCUCCCCAUACCCAUCCCCGAUAUUUUGCGUAUGUCCCCGUCCCCGUCAGAAUUGCUUGAGAGAAUCUCCAUCCCCUCCCCGAAUAAUAACAGGGGAUCCCCGAGGGUCCCCGGUCUUUGGAAAAGCUAGGAAAGAAAAGGGACGUGAAAAACAAAGGGGGUAGAUUUUUUGAAGGGGAAAGAAAAAGAAACCCUAGAUCUAAAUUUUUCUCUUCUCUCUAUGAAGAACUAAACCUAUUAUUCUGGUUGAAGAUUAAUAAAGCUUUGGUUCAUCAUUACUGUGAGAUCUUUCUUAUGCUUUAAUUGUUUUAUUGCUUUUUGGGUAUUUGUUUAUUCUCUAAAUUAUUGUCAUGAUUAUAUUUGUUAAUUAGAUAAUUGGCCACUAUUUAAUUAUCAACUUAAUCUAUUGUCAAUUAAAAGAUUCAUCGUAUGAAGAUUUUAAUAUUUGUGACAAAUAGCAUAGCAGUGCGUUGUGUUAUGAGAAUAAACAAUCUAAUUUAAAUGAACCAUCGUAUGCGUUUGUUGAUUAGGAUUUGGGUCUCUCUGAUUUUUCAGGUUGUCAAUUAAUUAAAUCCUAUGAUUGUAUCUAGGGUUAUCUAUUAAUUAGGGAAAUAACCAAUGGUCGUACCUUAGUUAUCGACUAGUUAAAGAGAGAUUGGCUAUUAAAGGGUCUCAGUAGCUAGGGAUGGCAAAAAUCCCCACGGGGACGGGCACCCUCGGGGAUUUUCCCCAUUCGGGGAGGGUACGGGGAUAAUUUUAUACCCAAUUUUUUUUUCGGGGAGGGGACGGGGAAAAUUUUUUACCCAAUUUUUUAUUCGGGGAGGGGACGGGGAUGAGGUGGAAUCCCCAUCCCCUACCCAUUUCCCCAUUUUAAUUUUUAUUUUUUAUUUUUAAAAUUACUAAUAAAUAUAUAACAAAAUUAUAAAUAUUGGCAAGAUAUGAGUGGAAUUUUGGGUGUGACAUGUAUAUUUGAUCCAAGGUAUAAAAAGAAGUUCAUUGAAUAAUACUUUUCUUUUUAUUUUUAAAAUUACUAAUAAAUAAAUAACAAAAUUAUAAAUAUUGUUAAAAAUAAUAAAUAUCAAAAUAGUUGUAUGUUGGGAAAGUGGUCACCCCUUACCAGGAAUUAGUGGAAGAGUAUCAAUUGAAGUUUUCACCAAUUGUUUAUUGCUUUGAUUAUACUGGUUGUAGUUCUUCUAUUAGAUCUACAGGGGAUUCUUAUAAGAAAGCAACCAAAUGGAUGACAUGUUUUGAUGAUUAUGUAAACAAUGGAGAUUGUGCAGUUGUUGCAGAUGAAUUAGAUUCAUAUUUGGAUGAAAAAGUUAUACCCCGGAUGGAAGAUUUUAAUAUUUUGAGUUGGUGGAAGACAAAUGCUAAUAGGUAUCCUACAUUAGCUCGAAUUGCUACAGGACGAGCAGGAGGUAAAUAGUUUUAUUAAAAAUAUUAAUUAAGUAUCUACAUUUAUUUCAUUUAUUUUAUUGCCGAUGUAAAAAAUAUUUUUUUUUUCUUUUUAUUGUAGGAUUAUGAAGAUUGAGACAUUGAUAAAGAUAAUUAUUUUAAUAAUUUAUAUUUUGAAUGUGACUUUGUAAUGGAUCAAUAUUAAUGUAAGAUAUAUUUUAAACUUUAUUUUUAUCUGAAUUUUUUAUUUUAAUAUGAUUAAUUUAAAAUCAAAAAUAAAAAAAUGUAUUAGACUAUUAAUUAUUCGGAGACCGGGGACCCUCGGGGAUCCCCUGUUAUUAUUCGGGGAGGGGAUGGGGAUUCUCUCAAGCAAUUCUAACGGGGACGGGGAGGGGACGGGGACAUACGCAAAAUAUCGGGGAUGGGUAUGGGGAGAUUAGUCCCCUCCCCUCUCCUCCCCAUUGCCAUCCCUAGAUUUUUGCCAUCCCUAUCGAAACCUCUACCCACCACUAUUAGAGUUAAAAAAAUCUCUGAUAUGAGUGUAUUCUUCUAAUUUGAACUCUAACGUGAUUUUUUGAGAGAUUCAUUGGAAAAAAACCUUAAGGAGUUAAAGAAGAAAUUUAAAAAAAAAAUCAUAAAAAGAGGAAUGAAAAGAAAAAGAUGCUUUACCAAGAGUUGAUUGACAGUAAUUGGUAAAUUUGAGCAUGCAAUAAAAUUUACCCAUAUAUUCAUAUGACAUAAAAUAUAAUUUUAUUCAUUAAUUACACUACUAAUUUGUCUAAAUUUUAGUUUUUAAAAAAAUAAAUUUCUAUAUAUUUACAUAAAUCUUAGUUUUUAUAAAAAUAAAUUGAAAAAUAAAUUUAUGUUUUUAUAAAAAUAAAUUUAUGUUUAUUUUUUUACAUUGACCUGAAGAAAAGACUAGUACUACUAAGCUGCUGUACGGCCAAGGCGGAUGUACGGUACAGCAGCAAUUUGACUGUUUGGGGGUGGGGUUGAUGGCUUACAUCAAAGUUAGUGUGUGCUAAGGAUUAACAAUAAUAAUGGGGUAAAUAUGAAAUUAAUCCUUGCCCAAGCAUUAGAAGUUCGUCGGUUUUCUUUUAACCGGAUAAUUACCGGUGAAUAUGUCACGCGUUCCUACACGUGGCAGCAUCUAAUUUAUUCGCUUGUCAUUUCAGUUUCUGUUAGUUACAGUUUCUGUAACGUAGCUAGCUCCGUCAGGUACAGGCAUGUUGUAACUUACGUUUCUCGUAAAAAUCAUAUAAGUUCUAUUUCUACCGCUAGGGUGAGCAUGGGUUGAUUUGGAUUAAAUUUUAAGUUAAUUUAAAUUAAAUUAUAAAAAUUUGGGUGUAAUCUAAAUUAAUUUAAAUAUUUUUAACAUAACUCAUGGGUUGGUUAAAUCAAACUAUAAAAAUUUGGUCCAACUCAAAUUAACUCAAAUAUUUUCAACACAACCCAAAGCAACUCAGUUGGAUUUUAUUAAAAUUAUAAUAAUUAUUAAUUGUUUUUAAACCAACCAUUUUGAGUUUGGUUUGGAUUUUAUUAUCAAAAUAUAUUUUUUAUUUUGAGAAAUUUAAUUUUAUCAAAAUUAUAAUAAUUAUUAAUUGUUAUUACUUAUUAAAUUGAUAAUAACAUAUAAAAAUUAUAAUUCAUAAAAAUUAUAAAUAACAAAUUUUACAAUAACUUAAUCCUUAAAUUAAAGAAUACUAGAAAAUUAAAAUAAAGUUUAAUCACAAAAAUCAUUAUUUAUCAAUAAAUAAGAAAAUUCUAAUAAAAAACUUCUACAAGCACGAUAUCGACAAGUAAAUUCAAAGAAAGAAAGAAAGAAAGAAAAGACUAGUACUACUAAGUAUUAACCCUAUUACAACACAAACUCUAACAAUGUCCAUACAAAUAAAAAAAAAUAAGACAUUCUAACUCAAGUGUCAAAGCAAUCCAUCAUAAUCAUUUCCAUCCGUAGUACUUUAAUCGAGAGAUUCCACGAUUAACUGACAAAAUGUAUGACAAUGAUAAUUUACAUUGAUUAUGACAUAAUAGAGAUGGAUUUGUCAAAGCCAAAUCAUUUGCUGGAAAGGAAUUUAGUUGAAGUAGGAACCAAAAUUCAACUUAGAUGGAUCUAUAAAAUUGGUCAUUCAAUACAUAAGUACUUUAUCAACAGAUUCAACACAUUAUAAAUUUAUGGAUUCAACUAAGUUACAACCAGCUGCAACUUAUUCCUCUCACAUAAACAAUAAUACAGCGGUAGGCUAUAUUAUUUACAAAAAGUACUUAUGUAUUGAAUGACCAAUUUUAUUACCUGCAAAAUUAAUUAAUCUUUCACUCUAUCAUCUAACUAAUGGAAGGCAAUCUUAUUUUAGGUUGUAAUGAUUAGAAACUAGCAGGAAGUGGGGGCGAUGCUCCAUAUUAAUUUGGAUAAAUCCCUUUCUAGUGAAGAAGUUAAAAUUAUAAAAUAGAGAUCAAGAUAGAAAUUUAAAGGCCCCGAUUGUUUUUUACAGACUUAAAAAUGAUAUUGAAAAAUUAAAAGCUAAUUUUAGUAUUUAAAAAUUACUUUAAGAAAAAUCACCCUAUCUUCCUGUAAAUUUUGAAAAGCAUGAAAAGAGCAGUUUUUCAAAAAUUGAUUUCGAAAAUUAGUUUCAUACUUAAUACAAUUCCAUAUAUCCUAACAUUUAUUAUAAAAAUUCAAAUUAUCCUUAUUAAAUUAGGAAAUAAAGUCAGUACAUUUAAAUAAGAGUGAUGAUAUAGACACAAACUCUUGUACCAACUGACGUAGCAUUAAUUUAUUAGUUGAAUGAAAAUAUAAAAUAAUAUAAAUAAAUCAUGUGGGCCAAGAAAUAUUUAAUUUAACCAAUUUUAUCAUGUCACAUUAUAAGCAACUUAUAAACUCAUUGGAUUCGACUCUUUACUAAAAUAAAAAUAAAUUAAUAUAUAUAUAUAUAUAUAUAUAUAUUUACAUACAUAAAAUGUGAUUAUAUACACAUAUUUAUAAUUGAAUAUGUACAUAAAUUCUGUAGAUUUAUGUCUAUCUAUACAUUUGCAUUCUUACCACAUUUUAAAAGUGUGAUUUACCAAAUACAUGGGACUUAUUUGAAAUUUAUAGCACUUUUAUAAAUAAAAUUUAUCAAACGUUAAACAGAUUCUCUAUUUUCGCGUAUAUAUCCUCAUGUAAAUUAUAAAAAUUCAAAAUUAUCUUUAUUCAAUUAGGAAAUUAAAUCAUUAUUUUUAAAGAGAUUCUUAUUAUUACUAAUUAGAUUCAAAUAACCAAAAAAAUACAAUCAAUAAAAUAAAAAUAUUUAUUUUAGUUAUCAUUUAUUAUAUACACAUAUUUAUAAAUGCAUGUGUAAAUAAAAUUUUAUAGAUUUAUGUCUAUUUAAGUUAUUUGCAUUCUUACAACAUUUAAAAAAUGAGAUUUACUAAACACAUGUGAUUGUUUUUAAAAAAGUUACAACACUUUUAAAAAUAAAAUUUAACAAAUGUUUAAUUGACUCUCUCCAAAGGUAAUUGUUUUUACAGUAUAGCUAAAGUAAUUUAUAAAUUUAUGAUAAGUAUUUGUGAAUAUUGGUCUAUGUAAAGAAGUAAAAACAACAUAUAUAUUAAGCAGCAUGAUAUUAAAACUCUUAGUAAAAUACAUAUACUAAUAAAAGAAAGACAACAAUGCAAUAAAUAAGCUUAUAAUAUAAAUUAUUAAAAUUGUAUAUUAAAAAAUUAUGCAUGAAAUUCUUUUUCUAUUUUGGUGAUAGAGAAUGCGAUAUAAUUGAAUUAUUUGAUUUAAUAAAAAAAAAAUAUGACUGUGAAGGAAAUUAACAAUUGAAUUGUGGAAUGUUAUUAAUUGUUAUUGUAUCAUUUUGCAACGUUCUAAUAAUAUGGACAAUGUUACAGUAUAUUGAUGGGCGGUAAUAUUUUCACCUCUUAAAUUGUGUAAAGUCAGCUCCAUUUAAAAAAAUUAUAUAUAAAAAGCCCAUUAGUUUUAAUAGUUUCAAAUUAAGAUUAAAUGCAAAUAAUUAACCAAUUAAAUCCUUAUUAAUAAGAUCAUUGAGCUUUAAUUAAACUAAUAAAAUGCAUUUGAUAAAUGAAAUUUACGAUAUUUAAUUACAUGAAAUUUAUUGACUACAUGAAUAAUAUAAUUGUUCAGCUGUUUAAACUUUUUCCCUAUUUAAAUUUUAAAAAACAAUGUGAAAUUUUGUAAAUAGUUCUUUGAAAUGGGGUGGAUUUACACCAUUUGUGCAGUGCAAAUAUCCUAAUUCUAACAUUUUUUUUAAAAAAAAAGACCAAAUCAUAACAUUUUUUGUAUACUAAGUUAAAGUAGUACUAACAUUAUAGCCCCCUAAUGAUUUCAAUUCAUUCAAUGAAUAUAUAAUUUAAGCAUGUUAUAAACUAAGUCUCUAAAUCGAAUUAAAAAAAGAAAAAAGAGCUUAAUUGCUGACAUAGUUGAAAAUAAAAUAAAAAAUUUUAUUAUUAGAUGAAAAAUUAUGAAACUUAAGGGGUAUAAGCGAGUCGGCAGCUGCUCACCAGGGCAUAUGUAAUAUUUGUUAAUACAUUUCAAAAUUUUAGGUUUUUUAAUAAUAUUUUCAAUACAUUUUCUAGAAGGUUUAGAAAAAAAAAAUGACUCAAUACUUUAAUCGAGCUAUGAAUAAACUCAUGUGUUAAAAAAUUUCAUAUUUACACCCAAUAAGAUUAAUUAAUGGGUGAUACAAAUUUAAGAUAGUUAAUAAUAAUAUAUAUCAUCUUAAGUUAACUUCAACUCAUUAACCUUGUAUAAGGUUUGAUGGGUCGUGCCGCAAAUUAUCACCUCUAAUCCUUUUUGCAACAGGCAUGAUGAAUGCUAACAAAAUGAAACUUCUAUAUAUUUAGUUGUUAUUCUUUUUAAUGAAAUAAUAAGGAGCUUUGCUGCAAAUUUCCAUCCAGCAUGGCAUGGACGCACGUGAAAUUUGCUAGUAUGGUCCUGGACAUGCGUGGCUGAGAUGCUUCUAAAGGCAAAGAAUUCCAAGUUCAUACCAAAUAUAACUUUCUGAUAUUUUUGUGGUAUCAAGUUUGUUUUUCACAAACUAAGGUGUCGGCGUAAAGUUGUUGUCCAUGCAAUGAAGUUUUAUACAUAAAUAUAUUAACCUAAAUUGUUACUAAAGUUCCAUAAUUAGCAGUUCCUGAGAGUUUUUACUAUAUAUUUUUUUGUUUUAAUUCAACAUAUGUUUAUUUAAUACGAUUUUAUUAAAUAAAUGUGCAUAUUUACCAUAUUUGUCUACGAUCAAUUAGUUGGAAAAAAAAAAGAAAAUUAAUAAAUUUAUUUAUUUGAUUGUUAAUGGUUUAGGCAUUUGAAUUCCCACAAAGUCAGGGUGUCAGCUCUGGACUUCUGGUGAUGUAUUUUUCUAAUAAAGAAAUAAAAUAUUGUUGUCAUUUUUUUAAUAUUCUAAUUUACCAAGCCUACCAACCAAUUAAUUUUUCUAAUUAGAUCAUUAAUUCAUUACACGUGCAUUCGCUGGCCCAGUGCUCCAAUCCCAUGCAUGCUGCACAACUCAAUGUGUUUUAAUAAGAAAAGGUUUGGUUAGCCUGUGCUGAUGCCAGAAGCCCCUUAAGGAGUUCAGGUAAACGUAAAUAUGUCCAGAUUUAGAUUUGAAUAUGUAAACGUAAAUAGGUCCAGAUUCAGAUUCGUUGCGCUAGAGAGGGGCACGCACGAUCGGGCUGCUGUCAGGUGGUACGUUGGCGUGGCAAUUCUCAACACGCGCUUCUCCUGGUGCAUACUUACGGCAAGUUGACACGUGACCCGUGUGGAUUGAGUGGACAGAGUCACGGGCACUGAUUUUUGUCAUCCAUAACGACUAACGUCGGAGACUUCGAGAAGAAAGAAAUUGUUGUCGUUUCUAAGGGGAAAAAAAUAUUUAAUUUGUUGAAGACAAAUUAACGUCGGAGAUUUUUUUUAUUUUUUAUUUUUAAUUUUGCAAUCUAAACCAGUCUAAUCAAAAUGUCAAUUUGACAAAAGUUGGACUGAUUUAGAUUAGUUCUAUUAGUUUGAUUGGAUUAAAUUGAAUUAGAUCUUGAACAUCCUAACACUUUUCAUGAAUGUUUUCCUUUUUUUUUGAAAAAAAUUAAUAAGGAGAAUUCCCAUGAAUGUUAAUUUUAUUGAUAAACUUGGCAAUUUUAAGAAAUGUUUUGACGCACGAAUAAUGCAAUUCAUCAACCCACAUAGAUAUGGAUAUAGGAAGCAGAGACCAGAUCGAUCUUGACAUAACGAAAACUUGUAUGUGUAUAUGUAUGUUACAGACCAGAUCGAUCUGUAGCAUAGACUUCUCCUAUAUGUAGGUUAUAUUCAAAUUACAAAAUGAACACAUGUUAAGGAUCUACAACUUCUUCUUUAAUCUAAUAAGCUCCCUCAACUUUAUUCCAAAACAAAAAAGAAUCAAAUUUUUGUUGGAAAUAUUUAUGAAUGAAGAAGCAAAAAGCGCUUGUAUCAAGGAUCUAAUUAAAGAACUGCCAGAGGCAUAGAUCUAUCAAAGCUCCCUCGCAUGACUCUUGGUCUCGGUGGCUUCUUCUUCUUCAUUCCGAAUUUUCCCUCCAUCUGAUCUCUUCCAACCUUUCCAUUUCCAAAUUGAAUUGAAACUUGCCUCAUAUUCGUUUGUUGAAUCCCAUCUUUUGUUGCACCACCAUGCAUCAAAAUCCUUGAAAUCCCAGCAUAAUGCAAGGACUCAGCUAUUUGCAAUGGGGUCACGUUCUUACUUGUCCUUGCCUCAACAUCAGCUCCCUUCUUCACAAGCAAUUCAGUCACAUCUGUGUGGCCAGAUUCCACCGCACAAUGCAAAGCUGUGUACCCAUCUUCAUCUUUAGCAUCAACAUCAAUCCCUUUAUCAAUCAGAAUCCUCACAACCUCAAUCUUUCCCUUAAACGAAGCCCUAUGCAAAGCAGUCCAUCCAUGUAGGUCUUUCCCAUUGAUCGCGGCGCCUGCUUCGAUCAACCUCUGCAUUGUCCUCACUUCCCCUUUCCUAGCGGCAAUACACAGGCUGUCACCAAGCUUCAACGCGUCAAAGAGACGGGAGUGACCGCACUCAGCAGCAACAUCAUAAGCGGUCUUUCCGCUCUUGUUUCUAAUAUAUUUAUUAGCACCCUUCUGCAAUAACAGCUUCACCAUUUGCUCAUAUCCCAAGCUUGCGGCGAUAUGCAAAGGCGUGUCACCGUCUCUAGCGUUGCGUAUAUCAGGCCUUGCUCCGUUUGCUAACAGAAGUCUCGCGCAAUCUCUUCUUCUGUCUUCAACCGCGAGAUGCAGAGCUGUGUUACCAUCUUUUGUUAAAGCAUUGACAUUAGCACCUUUGAUUAAGAGAAGCUUUAGUACUUCCAAAUGGCCGCCUCGUAAGGCCAAGUGUAUGGGCCCCCAUGUUGAUGUUCCUGAUCUUUCUGUGCUGGCUUUCCUCGCCAACAAGAGCUCAACAAUAAGUGCUUCCCCUGCAGCCGCCGCGGCUUCAAGUGGAGUACUGCAGCCACACCUGCCUUGAGACUCAACAUCCGGCCCAAACUCAAGCAAAAGUUGAACAAUAUCAGGCCUCCUUUGAGCUAUAGCAAUAUGAAGCAACGUUUGUCCCUGCGCAUCGGCAGAAUCAGCCGGGUUCCAAGCCGGGUCACUCCGCUCAAGAACCUCUCUUAAAUCAUCCAUUUCACCAUCCUUAACAAGCAGAACCAAAACAGGAGACCCAACGAACAUGAUCUUGAUUCCGCUGUCGAUGAACACUUGCUUCUUCCUCGUUGUGAACCAGUCACUGGGGACGGAAUCAAGCGUCGACGUUGCAUCUUUAAUUCCAGCUCCAGGAACAACAACGCUGUGCAAGAGGAAGGAAUCAUCACAGUGAGGGAAAGAAUCAGGAAGAACCGAUCCUGGAGGGAGAUGAUACGCAAUCUCUACGCUUAGUGUUGCGAGUGGUGAUAUGAUUCCUGAUUGCGGCUUCACAGUAUAACGAGCCUUGUUUGUAGGCUGAAUCCUGAAAGCAACAGGCAUCGUGUGCAUGACAUUGCGGAGAGUCAGCUCCCCGGAACAUUUCUGCCCUGGUUCAAUUCUGAUAGCUACAAGGUUCGACGGCUCCAAGCUUACAAGCCUAUCCAUUGAUUAAUUUUCUCUCCGUUUCCCAAGGACUGCUGAAAGGGGUUCUUUGAACUUUUUGAUUCAGGCUUAUUUUCUUCACUUUUGGUGGCAUGGGGAGGAAUUAGAGGAGUAACUGUAAGAGCUGCAAGUGUUGGUGUAAUCAACUGUAAUAUAAGGAGAAGAGAGGGCCGGCUCUAAUGGGAGACUGCCACGUGGUGGUGUUAAAAACAAUGAGACUUGUUCUGUUCGGCGUCCGGAGUGUAUAUACAGUUGUGUUAGUGGUGAAAGUUAAAGAAAUCCUGAAGUUAUUUUCGGAGUGGCUUCUGCAAAGUCACUUUCAGGAUUGUAUUGUAUCAUUAAAAAACAAAGCCAGUUUUUGUUGUUCUAGUAAAAGGCGAAUCAUUGGACAAACUCGUAAGAAUAUGUUGCCAAAUGUAUAAAAUAUGAAAUUCAAACAAUGAUUACAAUGUGAAAUUGGACAAUGGACAUGGCCUGUGUGAAUUGUUUUGUGGGCUUACUAAUUAAAUUAAUUCACUAAAAAUAAUGUCACUUUUGUGUCUGUGAAGAAGCCGAAAUGGCACAGUCAUUUACGUGGCCAACUACGGUGACUACUUCGUCAGUAGCUGCUCGAGCACUUGGUCAGCACAAGUUGCUUUCUUUCUUGGCGGGAUUAGUUUUUCUUCAUUGCUUUAAGUGGUGCAUUUCUGCAGUUUCAUUUUGCUUUGCUUAUGCCAUUGGAUUUGUGCCCCAUAAAUAAAUAUAUAAUUAAGCGGAAAAGUAUCAAAUUUUGAAAAAGCUUAGGUUUUGUGUGUGUGUGUGUGUGUGUGUGUGUGUGUGUUUUAAGCCGAAUUACUCGGCUAAAAAUUAAUCCGAUUAUUAUUGUUUUGGUGCUUAAGAUGUGACUCUAACCUAAAGCUCAUUUGAACUCUCUUGAUGCUCAUAUGGUAUUUUUUGUGUUGUGUCGUGCUGGCCCUUACACAUCUCGGCUCAUAUUUUUCAUGUUACUAAGUUCUAAUAUGUACAAAAGAAAUAGAGCAAUGUCCGGUGGUAGAUCCAAACACUCAAUUUGGGGUGCUUAUUUUUCAGUCUCAAAUUCGAUUAUUUUCUUUUAAAAUAUUAAAAUAAUAGUAAUAAAAUACUUAUUUUAAAUACUGAGCUCAUUACAACCACAUAUGUAAAAGUAUCAUUUAUAUUUUUUUUCUAAAUAAUCUUCACAAAAUAUUUUAAAAAAUAAAAUUAUGUGACUAUGGGGAUUUGAACCAAGUCUCUCAAACUACUAAAUAACACUUUUACCACUAAAUUACAAAUCUUUUAACAUAUUAAAAGUGCAUCCAAAUUAUUAUUAUUAUUUAAUUAUUUCAUAAGAGAUUUGGGGCACAUUUAAAAGAAAAAAAAUUAAUGGUGCAUAAAGGACUAAAGCCUCUCUUGAGUCCUUGACCUUAACUAGGUCCACCCAUGGUAAUGUCAGUGAUACCCAACUUGAAAAAUAUACAAGAAACUUGGAAAUUUAAAUUAAUGAAUAAAUAAAUAAAUAAAAGGAAACUUAGUGAUUGUAGCUGUUGUAUUGUAUUGUGGAUCAAAGAAUUACAAGUUCUUGGUUUCUCGGUAUUGGCUAAUUUUGAAGUUAAAUGAAGUUCGAAAAUAUUUACAAGCAAUAAAAUUAUCAACUGAAUGAGACAAGGAAAGAGUAUAAAGACCUUAGCAAAUUAGCAAUCCUUCUUUAAUUUAGUAACAGUGACGCUUAUAAAGUUAGAAGACGUAUCAAAUCUAAUUUAGAUUUUGCCCCAUAAAACUAACUUAACUUAUAGUGCGUCUUUGUUUAAUUAGUAAAUAUUCCACAAAAACUGAUCAGCACUUUAUAGGAAAUUCCAAACACGUUUAUAUUCACAAGGAAUAUGUCAAGGAGAAAUGAGAAUAAAAAAAUGUAAAAACUAAUAAAGCUUCAUUAAUUAGAAUUUAUAACCAUAUGUGCUCCUAUACUACUUUUAUUAUUAAGAAUUUGAAGUAGAAGGUAGUUGAUUAUCAUGAAAUUACAAAAUUGUAAACGGAUUUGUUCUUUUGGAAAAAGAAAAAAAAAAAAAAAGGAAGGAUAGUUGAUUACUUGAUUAGUGAGAAAUCAUACGUAUAAAGGACAAAUUGAAAAAUGGGACCUGAAUUGCAACAAAGCUUCAUUGGAAUUAACUGCCGAUAAAAUUAAAUUAGUAUCACCCUACCCUUUCAUCUUAAUAUAUUCGAAAUUUCACCGAUCAAAGUUUCUAGCUUCGAUUUUUACGAUCUCUCAUCCUAAUAACACCAAAAGCAUAUUCAUUCGUUUGUAAGAUUAUGUAACAAAAUAUAGUAAAUAGCCUAUAAUUUUUUUGUUUUACUACUAACCUGUUAUCAUUCUUUUCUAAUAAUACAUGUUAAAAUAUUCACAGAAAAAAUUUAUCCCUAUUACACCCAACCACCUUUUUUUGUGUUUUUUUUGUUCAAAUUUUAGCAUUAAAGGGACAAUAAUGUCCUAUGAAAUAUGCAGAAAGACAGUUAAUAAUAUUCAAAAAUGUAAGUGGAGGUAUCUUACGCCACACACACAAAUUACACGACUCUCAUUAAUGUGUUGUUGUUGUUAUGUGUGGCGUAAGUUACAGUUGAAUGUCAUAUUCAAAAAAGUAAGUGGAGGUAUCAAUCUCCCUAAAUAAAUAAUUUAUGGAAGGUUGUUAGCUGUUGUACUUUUAGUUAAUUUUAAAAUCACAAUAAUAUGGUUAAUGUUAAGUUACAUGCAUGUAACUUAGGAGGAUCCCAAUAAUAUACCAUAUUUUAUUAAUAUGUACAGUAUUUAUAAUAUUUAAAAAUUAAGGAAUUAAUGUACGCAUGUAAAAGCUGCAUUGGAGCCAGUUGGAAAUCUUACUGUCUUGAUAUAUGCAACGAUUGUAGCAGCUAAAAAGGCAUGAUAUUUACUUAAUAUUAUUUCAAACAAUAAUUAUUUAUUUAAAGCAAAUAAUAAUAAUGAGGGCAGAAGGACUAUUCUAGGAUCAAUAUGGUGACAGUAUAAAUAAAUAAUAUUAAUUAUUAAUGCAUUGAUGAGUAUUGUUAAAAUGACAUAAUAGGUUUGUUUCAUUGAAUUGAACCUUUUCUCUUAAAAUAGCUAUAAUUUGUUCUCUCUCUCUCUGUGUUUUUGUUUUUGUUUUUCACUUUAGUUUUACUUCUCUUAAAAAACCAAAAAAAAAAAAACAAAAUUAAUGGAAACUGAUGAUGGGAAGACGGACAAUUUUCUAUAUUGUUAAAUAGAAAUGGGCACAAAUGUGAGUUUUUUGGGGCAAAAAAAUAUAGUCAAUGUACGUAGCGUUUGUCUAUUUGAAAACCCGUCAAUAUAAAAACAGGACGUAAAGCUUUCAGACAAAGUACUCUUAUGGCCGUACUUUCCAUAAACCAAAUCAAAAGAAGGAAAAUAUUUGUGUCUGGCUUCGAUGCGACUGUUAACAUUCACAAAUAAACACCUUUGCAUGGUCAGAAAAAUUAACAAGAAAUUAGAAGGCGAUGUUGCGUUCUACUUAGUUCUCUAGGAUUUGUGUCAUUUGUUUAUGCUACGGUUCGUUCCCAUUUGCAUUGCGUGGAAUAAUUGGCCGAAUAUUAUUAAUCUCAAUCUUAAUCUCUCAACUCUUGUCCCUUUAAUUUUUGUUUGUAUCUUUUUCUUUUUUUUUUUAAAUAUCACAUACAAUGCUUUUAAUAAAUAACUUCAUAGAAAUAUUUAAUAAAAUCCAACAUAUAUAAGUUCAAGAAACUCAAAAAAUAAAAGAAAAUAAACUCACGUUGUCACUGGAGAGACUCAAACAUGCUACCUUAAAAUUAAGUAGAGGGUGCAACUACUUGCACUUUAAAAAAAGAAAAGAAAAAAAAAGGGGCUUUGAACGCUCGUGAUAAUUUGCAAGUUAUGGAGGAUAAUCAUUGUACAAUGGGGAGAACUCUUAUGGAACAAUAUUCAAACUGAUAUUGAAAGCAUAUAAGAAUUUGGCUUGGGUGUUUUGGUGCCAUGAAUGAGUGCAGAAACAAAGAGGAAGCUUUGUCCCUUUAAUUUGAUCUGCUGUAUUAUAAUUAUUGAGAUUAAUCAAAUAAAUAACCGAAACAUGGUUACAGUUUUAUAGUGUAUUGCAAGUCUUUGGAGAUACUAUGUACCUCAAAAAAAAAUAUCGUAUAAAAGAGUGUUUUGUUUCACAGGGGUUCAAUGAGAUUUGAGAUGGCUGUAAUGAAAGUGAUGUAAAUUUUUUGGACUCUAAUGAGGUGUUUUUAGAUGGAGGGGGAUUUACAAGUAUUUUAUAGGGGUGAUAAAUGACUGUAUACCCACCAAAAAGGCCCAUUGUUCGAGUCCAUGAGCAUUACAGUUUUUUUUUUUUUUUUUUUUGAAAUUCAGAACAUGCAGUUUGUUUGAUUCAACUUCCGAAUUACAAAAUUAGAAUAAGAAAAAAAAAUGUGGAUGUUUUUUCUUUAAUUUACAUAAUAAUACAUGGUGUGGACGAUGUCUAUUGAGGGAUAAAAGAGGAAUGGGGGCACUGUGAAGUUUGUGUUUUUGUUUUUUUUAAAUUAUCAUAUUCAUACUGUCUAUAAAAAUAUGCAAGUUAAAAAAUUACUCAUGAUAUUGUUGUUUUUGUUUCAUAUAAUACUACUUAUGCACAUCGCCUCAUGCAAACAUUUCUUAGUUAUGCUUAAAAAAAUGAGAUUCUCACCAUGGGUCACUGUAAAAAUCCACAGAAGCCGUGGAUCACAGUAGGAAGCCCACUUGAACAGAAGAAGCUACCGAAAGCUUCGACAUUGUAUUUAUGAAAUGCUUAGUAAAUUUUGUUUUAUUUUGAAUUUAUAUUAUAAAUGGUGUGUUGCUAAAUUAAAAAAUAAAAAAGAAAUGCAAUGUGUCAAAAUACAAGAAUCUUACGGACAUUUUUGUCACAAUAUAUGUAAAUAAUUCAUAUCUUAUUCAUAUCCUAUGUAAGCUUCACUUGUUUAACACAAUGGUGGUUGAAUCUUCAAAAAUUCAUAAUCUUAAACAACCAAAUUUGGAAUUAAUUAAGCAAAUUGCCUCUAUAAAUUGAUUACAACAACCAACGACGUGUGAAGCCACAUGUCAAUUUCCCUAGACAGCCCAAAUAUUGAGGCGCUGUGAGGGAGCAAGGUGCAAUCGGAUGGGGGAAAGAGAGAGAGCCAAUGGUGAGAAUGGAUCGUGGUGAGGGAGAACCAACUGGUGGUGAGAUUUGUGGCUUCAAUGAGGUGAGUUUCGUGGCGCUGUGAGUGAAGUGAGAUUUGGCAUGAGUGUGAGGGAGAAUGCGUGUGUUGUGUGAGUGAGGUAAGCUGUGUCUGUUGUGUGCAUGGAGACUCUCACCACAAUUAGAAUUUAUAGUUAGCACAGAACGAAACACAAUAUUCUACGCUAACUGUGGAGUUAACCAUGGUGAGAAUAUCAUUAUUGUUUAUUAUAACACUUUUUUUUUUAAUUUGUUUUGACAAUAAAAUAAAGAACCUUGUAAGAAAACCUCAAUAACUCAAUUAAAAAACCAACUCAACCGAUGAUAGGUAAAUUGAGAAAUUUUCAACUAAAAAUUAUUAAGAUUGGUUUUAACUUCAAAUCAUAGUCACAUAGUUUUGUCCUUAUAAAGAUCAAAAUAAUGAAUUCUAACUCCGAAGUUUUUAGAUUUAUGUGACGAACUGACGAUAGUAUAUUGAAAUCGAUUGAAAUGAAAAAUUUAAUUAAAUGCAAUUCAAGAUGUAGUAUCAAAUUCAAACGAUUCGGAUUGUUUUAAAAAUUUCAAUGCUUUAAUCUAAAUCGAUUAAUCAAUUACACUCUUGCAAUUAUAUACCGUUAAAACUAAAAUAUGUAAAAUUUAGGGUGCAUUUAUUACCAUUUUCAAUUUGUUGUUUUUCGUUUUAUGAAAAGGAAAAUACAGAAAACUUGUUUGGUGAGCUCAUAUUGGUGGAAAACUGUACAGUGAUUAAAAACAAAAAAAAAUUCAUUUUUCAAUGUUUACAAAGGAAACAAGAAAACGCUAUUACACUGGGUUCUCUAUUUUAUUUCACUUUUACUCUCUGCCAAGGCCCUACCAUCUUAACUUUUAUAACAUGGUGUAAUAAAUUACGUGGGCCCAUUUAAUAAAGAAAUAAUCUAAUAAAUAAAUUAUUAUAACAAAUAUUUAAAAAUAAUAGCAUUCCAUACCUUACAGCUUAAUUACUUAAUAUAUUACCCAAAUUAUUUUAAAUAAAAAGUGAUAUCAUAUAAUUAUUAUACUAAAUUAUUACAUUGUUCGACCAAUAUGCAGUUAUUUAAAAAUUACUACAAACUUUCUUACAUAUAUUAAUGAAAAUAUAUCAAUAAUAAAGUUACAUCUUGACAGUUAAUAUAAAUAAAUAUAUGAUAAUUAUGAAAUAAUUAAAGAUUUUCUCAAUUAAUAUUAUCUUAUAACUACAAUUUAUUUACAUAAUUAAAAGUUUUUAAGAAAUUAUUAAAAUAUCUUCAAACCUAUAUGCAUUUAUAAUAAUAUAUAAUACAUCAUAAUAUAAUAACUAAAUAGAUAAAUUAUUUAUUAAUAUAAAAUAUAUGUUUAUAUUCAUUAUAUAAUAUUAUUCUUUCAUAGUAGUUUCAUUAAAUAAUUCUCUACUCUCUCUCUUUUUAUCUUUAUUUUUUCGGACAGACAAGUAACCAAACACCGCUUCACCUUUUUUUUAUUUUCAAAUACUAUUCUUAAAAUAAACUACCAAACAUAUUUUUAUUUUUAACAAAAACUAAUCAUUUUUAUUUUAUAAAACAAAUUGAAAAGUACUAUUUAAAAUAUAAUACCAAACUUACCCUUAAUAAUUUUAUAUUUGUCAAAAAGAUGAGAAGCUAAGUGGCACUAUCGUUUACCUAUUCAAACUAAACGUGGAGUCACAAUAUUGAAGACACUUUGGUGGCCACAACACUCUUUUCUUUAGUACGGAACAAUCUGGCUUACAUGACACUACAUAAAAAUAAAUAAUAAAAAAUCACCGAUUCCAACUGCCCCGGACAAAAAACAGGCCACACGUAAAAAGGCUUCUAUUUUUAUUUUUAUUUCUCCCCAUUUUAAAGAUGACGUCAUGGUGAUUAUGAAACCAGAAAAUAACAAAUUUUAGUUGUCUGAUUUUGUAGUUAUCCAGCGAAAACUAAAAAAACAGUGAACGCAGCAGCAGAUCUCCGUGUUUGUCGUCGUUCGAUGAGAGAUUCCGAUUCGUGAGCAUCGCAAGUGUUGAAAUGGAAUCAGACGAAAUGAGGAGUUAGCCUCUUAUUAUAUAAUAAUAAUAAUGAUAAUAAUAAUAAUAACUAAUCUCUUUUAUCAUAUAAUUGAUAAUGGAAAUUCACAUUGACAAAAGGCAAAUUACACACUGACUGGGCAGAAUAAAAAACAGUCUCUCUCAAAAGCAAUAAUUUAAACACUAACACCACCUUAAGGAGACACCCCAAAAAUAAAGCAGCAAGCUCUUACUGUGACCACACACACACACACACACCAAACUUUUAUUAUAGAAUAAAUCUAAGAUGAUGGAUGAUGGAUGCGUCACAUAAAAGUUAAUUAAUUUAAUCGCUGUCACUGCUGCUGCUGCUCUCGUGUCCGUCCUCGUGCUUCUUCUUCUUCUCCUUCUUUUUCUUCUUCUCUUCACCGUGGGCGGCGCCCUCGCCGCCGCCGACACCGGGGAUCUUCUGCUUGAUCUUGUCCACCAAGCCCUCCUUGUGUUCGCCCUCCUUGUGUUCCCCGCCGUGAUGCUGCUGCUGAUGGUGAACAUCAGUAGUGCCGACACCGGGGAUCUGCUGCUUGAUCUUGUCCACCAAGCCCUCCUUGUGUUCGCCGCCGUGAUACUGCUGCUGAUGGUGGACAUCAGUAGUGUGGUGGUCCCCACUAUGGUGCUCUCCCUUGUGCUUGUCCUCCUCCUUUUGCCCUCCUCCCAUGUGAAGGGCUUCUCCGAUCUUGUGAAUAACUCCUGACAUUUUCCCUUAAAAUGACUCUGUUCCUCUUCUUUUCUUUUCAAUGAAAAAUAGUUGUUUGCGAUCUUCUUCUGGUUGUUGUUGUUCUUGUUGGGUGAUCUUGGCUUGGUAUUUAUAGGCUCCAAAAGGAGGGACUAGAAUUAGGAUUAGAUUAUAGAUUAUUUUAAUACAUUUUAUGGCAAAUUCUGAUUUGGAAAGAUAAGAUUAUCCUUUUGGUUUUCCUUAUUUACCCUUUUGCACCCAUUACGUGUACGCGUCUUCGUGGGCUUUUUGGGUAUUUCAAUUAUAUCGCCAAUGCUAAAUCGACACGUUGCAUAUCAGCCGCGGUACUGCCGUAUGUAGUUGUCCAGAAAUCGAGUCGAUUCUCGAUCGUACAAUAAUUAAAUAAUAUUUCAUACGAAAUGAGUUUAGAUAUAUUUUGAAAAUUUAUUUUUAAUUUAAUUAUACGUGUUAUAUAUUUGUUAAUCGAAUAGAGGUCCCACGUAACAGAGUGUUUCUCUAAUCUUUCAUUGCUUUUAAUUAAUUUUACCCAAAUAAAAAAAAAAAGGAAAAUUUAGAGAGAGAGAGAGAGAUAGCGAAUUAGAAGUUGAUUGUAAUAUCGACACCUGUCAGACAAUCAAAUAUCGUUAGUUAAAAAUCAGUUGUCCAUAGUCAUGGUCAUAGAUGGCGAAAUUGAUACUUAUUUUAAAAAACAAAACAAAACAAAACGAAACGAAACUAAACUAACAGAUGUUGAAAUGCAGUUCCGUGUUAACAGUCUGUGAUGAAUCUUUAUCUUUGAGUAUACCAUUCAAGAAAUUAUCAUUCAAAAAUUUAUUUAAAGCAGCAGCAAAUCACCUUCUAAUUCCUGAAUCAAAUUAAUUCGAUUUUUUUCGAGUCGAUCAAUUCAUUAGAGAAUUAACGGGCUAAGUUAAAGUUUUGUUAGUUAUUUUUUUUUAUAUUCCUUUAGAUGAUAUGAUUGUCAUUGUCUUUCUUUCUCUGGGCAACAAUAAAUACAAGAUGUGCAAAAGCGUAGUGGAACAUAAUUCGAUUAUGGGUAAAGGGAUCAGUCCGCAUAAUGAGGAUAAAGUUUUUCUCUUUAAAAAAAUUUAACCCAAAGAAAAGGUCGUAGUUUGUAAUAGCCGACACGCAGAUAGAUCACAAAGCAUGGCGGUCCUGAUGGCAAUAACUAACUGAUAUCUUCUGCGAUGAGAGGAGAUCACGUGGUUCUGACACGUAUCGCCCCAUCAACUGAUGUUGUGGCUGCAAUCGCGGCCCAGUCUUUAGAGAGAAGAAAGAUCUGUUAUAACGGGACCUACUUUAGCAUCUAUUUACGACAAAGCCCCUAUUUACUCUACUUAGUAGUAAUAAUAGCAAGUGUCGGGCUUGGAUUCCGUGUUGCUUUAAAUAAAUAUCCGCGUAAAAAGAAAAUGCUUCUUUAAUCCCUUCCUUGUAAUUUUUCGACACGUGGAUGGUUGAAAUUAGCGUGCCGACAUCUUAGGAAUUUUAUCUUGGAGACGGGAACACUGCAGUAGGCAAUGCCAUUUUCUUCGGAUGGUGUGUGGUGACAACGCCUUGGAUUUUGACGUGCAAAGAAUUUAAAUUGAAAAAGAAAAAAAGAAAUUACCAGAAUAAGCAUAGAAGAGAUAUUUUUCUUUUUGUCCUUUUUGGAAUGGAAAAAGAGAUCAAGAGAUUGUUCCAGUAAGUAUUACACAUGUCACAGGCUUAUUCAUGCCCCAUUAUGGCAACUUUUAUGCCUCGCGGUGCCCUCGGUUCCAGCAUAAUAGCUAAGACUUCAAUUUUUCUAACAUAUUUUUGUUACAAAUAUGAACGGAGUAAAUGUAUAACUUUAAUCCUUUGAAUAAAGAAAUGGCGGUUCUCCUGCUCGUUAAUCUCACUUGAAUCCCACCCAGGCAAAAUUUCUUUAUUUUAUUUAACAACAAUUUAAAGAAAGAAACUUUUGCCAGGUUGAAUUUCAAGUGAGAUUCAUUCGUGGGAGAAGUGCCAUUUCUUUAUUCAAAAGAUUAUGGUAAUUACAACUUUCAAUUUCGACAUAAAUUAAAAUUAUAGGCUAUACAAUAAAAUUGCCCUAAAUUAGUCCUAAUCAAUUCAGAUUAUAAAUUUAGGUAUAUUUAUUAUUUUAAUAUAUUAAUGUUCUAUAUAUAUAUAUAUAUAUAUAUAUAUAUGUGUGUGUGUGUGUGUAUNNNNNNNNNNNNNNNNNNNNNNNNNNNNNNNNNNNNNNNNNNNNNNNNNNNNNNNNNNNNNNNNNNNNNNNNNNNNNNNNNNNNNNNNNNNNNNNNNNNNNNNNNNNNACAGCAGAAAAUAUUUGCUAUGGAUAAGGAGACAUGGUCCCACGUCCCACCGUCCCAAUGCAUAUUUUGUAUGUUUCCAUCUUUUCUGAAAUUUUAAUAAAUAAAGUUUUUUGACCACUUGGCCAAAGAACCUUACCCUUACACAACUUUGUGGUUGGAGUCCUGUGAUACAUGUAAGAACUUAUUUUUUUUCUUAAUUAUAAUAUUUUAGAAUAUAAUUAAGUGAAGUAGGUUUUUUUUUUAAAUAUGAGUAAAAUAGAUAUUUUUUAAAUAUUAAAGAGAGUAAAAUUUGAAUAAUAAUAUAUUAAAAUUAAUACAAACUAAUUUUAAUAAUUAUUUAAUUAUAAAUAUCAAUUAUAACAUCAUAUAAUAUCAAUUAUAAUAUCGUACAUCUCAAUUAAUUCAAUAAUAAUAAUAAUAAAUGUUUUUUGGGAUAAGUAAACAGUCGCAUGGCGACAAUAGUGGAUCUGGAUUAGAGUGAAGUGGUCCCAAGAGGCUGAGGCUGUGGCUGUGGAGUUCUAAAAGUCAAAAGCUCCACGCACUUUGUUUCAGUACCAUACACACUGAAAAAAUUUGCAUUUGCAAUGACGAAAACUUUUCACGAAAUCAAAACACCUCUAAACUAUUUUGUUAUCGAUAUUUAAUGGAGGGGUUUCCUACCUUUUUAACACUCGAUUCACGCCUUGACGCAUCUCACAGAAAACCUCAUGAUCCCAUUAAUCUUGCGUAACAUAUCUCAAAGCCAAUGCAAGUGAUCUUGUUGCCUACUUCCCUUUGACGAUUCAAAAUUGUUGAAAAUAAUUCUUUUUUUUUUUAACCUCAAGGAAGUGACAAAAUAUAAAAGAAUAUUUUCUACACAUUAAACAUCUAGAUUUUUUUUUCUUUUCUUUUUAGAGUACUUGCACAAACCGUUUCCAAGAGAGACCUUUUUUUUUUUUUUUUUUUUCCGGGCUUGGUUACUAAUUUGGUGUGAAUACUCUAUGGUGAAAAAGGAAUCACAAAGCUGUAAUCAAUUUUUUUGCAUCAUUUAGUUGUAACUUGAACAUUGGGAGGUUUAUAAAGAAUUAAAUUAAUUAUAAUGCCUCUACUAGGAAAAGUUCAGAGUAGCCCUUCACAACUUUUUAAAGGCUUAAUAAUUUUCGCUUUCUUCCUCUCAUAACAUAACAAAAAAUUAAGAGCUUUACUCGUACACGUCCUAUGGCUAUAUAGUAUUGGGUUCUCUACUUCAAUCGGCUAUCUCAAACCGAAGGUUAUUUGGACACACCAGCAGUCACGUUUGGAAACUCUCAAAUGCUUGGAUUGUAAUUCUUGUGGAUGAGAUCAUCUAAAUCUUGGGCCCAAGCCGGACAAUGGGUGGACAAAGAACCCUAAAAUACAGUAAAGCUUCUAACACCCCACUAAAACUCUUAAGAAAUCCUACCUUUUAUUUUUAUAUCUCUUUCUUUUAGAAAUUAUAGAGAAGACAUAGCAUUUUAAUUAUUUUCCCUGCCAUUGAAAAUAAAUUCUGUAAACAUAUUUUUUCAUAAUAAAAUUAUUGUUAUUAGAUAAUUUAUUUCUUCAUUGUUUCAAAAUUAUUAUAAUUUUAUCAACAAAAUUAGUUAUGUCAUAUAUUAGGAUUAAAAUUAAUUAGGAUCCAUAACUUGUAAAGACAUUUUAGUUUAAUUGAAUUCAUAUUUGUCAUUUUAUGUAAUUUUCAAUAAAAAUACGACUAUGAGUGCAAAAGUGGGAUGACAUAAUAUUAAAAGAGUGUGAAAUAAUCGGUAAUUGAAAUGGAUUGAAAUCAUAAUAGAGUAUGAAAAUCAGAAUAAAUUGUUUACUUUAGUUGUAGAAAUCAAAAUUAAAAUAAACCAUAUUAUCAUUGAUGUAUAUAUGUUUUCUUGUAAUCGAAAUGAAUUCUUAUAAGUUACUAUAAGACCCUUAUGGUGUGUUUACUAAUCAGAAAUCAGAAUGGAGUGGAAUUUGAAUAUAGAAUGGUAGGGGUAUUCGCGGAUCGGAUUUUACGGAUUGGACAUUAAUUCAUAUCCGAUCCAUAAUUUUACGGAUUAUAAAUUCUCAACACAAUCCAAAUCCAAUCUAUAUGUUUGCAGAUCGGAUGCGGAUUUGACUCAAUUCAUAUCCAAUCCACUAUUUGACGGAUUGAUUUUGGAAUUAAAAAUUUUUAAUUUUGUCCAAUCUAUGAGGUAAUUAAAUUUAAAAAUCUAAUAUAAAAAUAAUUUAUUAAAUAAAAAAUUAACGUAAAAAUAAUUUUACUACCAAUUAAAUUCAAAAUUGAACAAGAUUUAAAUAAAUUAAUUAUUUAAAUAAAACUAGAAUAAUUUAUUUAAAAUUUUUAAAUAUAACAUAUCGAAAAAAAAUUCAUUUGUUUAGAUUAAUAUAUGAAAAUUAACUAAAAUUAUGAAUUUAAAUGUUGAAAUUUGAGAGCUUGGAUGUAACAGGAAGAAAUUAAGAAACUUGAAGAACUUGAAAAGAAAGUAACAAAUUAAGCUUAACUACCUCUAAUGGUGAAGUGAAACAGUGAUGGUUUGUGCGUGCAAUGGGGUACAAAUUUGGCAUUAUAUGCCAAAAUAUUUUGUUUGGCUUUAGAAUUUUUAAUGUUUAGGAAGCUAUAUUUGUUUAUUUAAUUACUCAAAUAUUUAAUUAUUUUUUAUUUUAUGUUAUUAUUGAAUAAGAUAUAAUAUUGUGUUAAUUUAGCUAUACUUUAAUUAAUUAAUUAAUUUAUUAGUAAGUAGCAUUGCUACAUUUAUAAGUUUUAUUUUUUAUUAAAUAAAUACUUUUUUUUUUCAGAUUCACGAAUUUUUACGGAUUUACAGAAAUAAAUCCAUAUCUAAUCCAUCGACUGUGGUUUUUUAAAUUUUCAUUCCAAUCCGAUCUACCAAUCCACAAAUUAUAUUUUUACGGAUCGGACGAAUUGAGCGGAUCAAAUUGGGUUCUGAACACCCCUAGAGAAUGAGAAUCAAAAUAAAUUAUUUACUUUAGUUGUGUGAAUCGGAAUUGGAAUAAAUUGUACUGUCAUUGAUGUGUUUACUUUAUCUUGGAAUCAGAAUGAAUAAUUUCAAAUUACUAAACUGACCUUAAUUUUUUAUUGUAAUAAUAAUAGUAGUAGUAGUAGUAAUAGU